rnacentral:lncRNA from 1 species
AAUUAAAUACAAUUUGUAGGAAUUUGAUAGUUUAUUAAAGAAAAGAUAAUUACAAAAUAAUAAUAACCUUCAAAUUCACUUUCCUUUUUAUAUACAAAAUAAUUGUCUAAUACAAAUGUGAGGCUUUCAUAUAUAACAAGCUCUAGGCAACUGCCUAAGUUACCUAGUUGUUUCGAGCCGCUUAUGAACAACAUAAGGAUUUUUUUUUUUUUGAAAGGAACAACAUAAGGAUUUAAUAAGGAAGAAUAAAUUAAUAUUGUGUUUACAUUUCUAGAAUGGGAAUCGAAAUAGAGGAAUCAGAAUAAAAAACAUGUUUACUUGUUAAAUUAAAGAUGGGAAUGGGAGCAGAAUGUAUGGAUCCCACACAGCAUUAAGGAAUGAAUACCCAGAUUCUGAAUCUAGUGGCGAGUAUUAGAAACCCAUUCCCCUCCCCAUGACGAAAAUGUCCUUAUUAACUUUUAUUUUCCAAAAAUGCCCUUAUGUCAUAUAAAAAUAUAAAAUAAAAUAAAAAACAGAAAUCUCUAAUCUAAGCAGUCGACCUAUCUCAUCGCUCUCACCUACAAACGAGAGCCCACCACUUGAUUUCAUUGUUUGUCACCGAUCUUGCACCAGUCAUCGAUUGAAAUCGCAUCGUUGUUCAUCAUGUGACACUGUCAGUUUCAUUUCAAGAUGAGGAAUAGAUGGAGAAGAAGAAGAAACAAUAAAUAAGAGAAAAAUGAAAAAAAAUAAAUAAAUGAGAAGAAGUAACGAAAACUAAGAUAAAAAGAAAAAAAUGAGUUUGAAGAUGGAGAAUAGAUGGAGGAGAAGAAGAAACGAUAAAGAAGAGAAAAAUAGAUAAUAAAAACUAAAGGAGAAGAAAAAGUAACGAAGAAUUUGCAAGAGAGAGAAAAAAAAAAGAAAAAUGAAAAAAAGGAGAAAAAAACAAACAGAGAGAGAAAAUAAUAAUAAAAAACAAAAGAGAAAAAUAAUAAUUAUUAUUAUUAUAACUAUUUUAUUUAUUAUUAACAAUAAUUUUAUUAAUAAUAAAUUAUAAUUCUAUAAUAAAUAAUGAAAAUAAUGGUAAUAAUAAACUAAGGGUAUUUUAGUAAAUUAAAAUAAUUCAUUCCAAUUCCAAAGUAAAAUAAAUACAUCAAUAGUAAUACAAUUCAUUCCGAUUCUAAUUCCAACAAAUAAAGUAAAUAACUUAUUCUAAUUCUCAUUUAUCAUUCUCAUUUCAACCCAUUCCGAUUCAUGUUUAGUAAACACACCAUAAAAUCUUUUAUUAGAAUCAAAUGGGUGCGAUAUGAUAUUGUAUAUACUAAUAAUACUAUAGAACCUAGUUGAAUUAAUAAUUCCAUAUAUUUAUUUGAUAAGAAAUUUUCAAAAAAAAAAUCUUUUUUUUUAUAGGACCCCUUAAUACAUAAAUUAAUAAUUAAUUAAUUUGAAACUAAAUAUAUAUGAUAUGUCUAUGAUUUUAUAUCUAUAAUUUUUUUUUUGUUGUGCUAGCAUAAUACUUUACACAUUUCAAUGGCCAUUAUUACUUUCUUUACACCUUUUAGAUGAGAAACCAUUAUUGUAUUUUAUAUGAUGUGUUAAGAGAGAUAACAAAGAGAUCAGCUUAACAUAUUGCCUAAAGAAAAUUCUUCUUUGAUGAGUUAUCAUAUAAUCAUGGUCCAGCAAUGCAAUUAGCCAAAUGAUUAUUAAGUAACUGAUUCACUCAAUCAAGAUUGAAUUAUAAUUAUAUCAUAUAGCUUGACGGAAUCAGUACAUCUUUUAAUUGUACUACCCUUAUACUUCAUAAAAAAAUUAAUUAUAAAUGUGAUAUUUUUUUUUAUAAAUUAAUAAAUUAUUAAUUUAUCAUUAAAUUACUAUCAUAGUCCCCAAGACUAUUGAUUUAUCAAGAUUUUACUGUUUAUUUUAAUGGAAUAAAUAAAGAAAAAGAGUCUUAAGAUAGGGAUUAAUAUUUAGUUUGGUUCUCAAUCGAAAUAUGCCAAUUCGGUUUGAUUCAAUUCCAACAAAAAAUUAAUUGGUUGACAUUUUUUGAACCGUUUGGUUCUUACUAACUGAAAACCAUACAAUGUUAAAAUGAAAAAAGAAAAGAAAAUUGUUAACACACACACAAUAACAUUUUUUUAUUAGUAAUUUUACAUAAAAUAUGAAUAAUUAGUGAUUAUAAUUGAAUUAGAUUAAAAAAAUCAAAUUUAGAUGAAAAUUAUGGAAAAUUUGGCUAAAAUUAAAGAAAAAUAUUAAAUUACAUGAACUGAAUCAUAUAAAACUGAAUUGAACCAAAUUGAAACAAAAUAAUUUAGUUCAAUUUCAUUACGAAGUUCAAUUCAUAUUUGGUUCAUAAUUUCUUGAACAGAUCGGGUUCGAUUCGGUUUAAUUUUUGAGCAAAAUCAAACUGAAUCAAUUAUUGAACAUUAAUAUCUCUGCUCUUAAAAAUUUAGGUUAUAGAUUUUUAACCUAACUUAACCAACACAAGUUGGAUUGAGUUCAACUUGAAAAAAAAGACGAUAUUUGGCUCCUUAAUUUAUCUUGUCAACCUUCACUUUUCAAUAAAUAUCAUUCAUUUCAAAAAUAAAACUAAUUAAAAAAAAUAAAUUUAUCUUCUCCCUCAAUCUCUCAAAGGUAACCUUCUCAUUUUCAUAUAUCUUUUUUUUUUUUUUUUAAUUUCAUUCACCGUUGGAACCAAAUAUUAACUCCUAUUUGAAUCUCAAAUCUUAGACUAUCACACAAAAUGAAAAUCAAUAUCACCGAUUACCGUAAAACCCAUCAUUUAUUCAUAAAAUUUUACACAACUCAAUAUUUAAACUCAUCGUAUGUUGGUGGAAAUGAUGAAUUAAUGGUAAAGAAGUAAGUGAUGGUCGCUAAGGAGAGAGAAAGCAACUAGAGUCGGAUCAACUUUAUGAAACAUUAUGGUUUACGAUUAACAGCUCAUUAGUCCAUCAAAUAAGAAAUCAAUUCUAAGUCUACACACCUUUAUGACUCUUAAACAUCUCAUUAGUCCAUCAAAUGGGCGUAAACUCUUGAUGAAACAACCCGGAGAAGAAGUUAUGCUUAUGCAUUUAAUGGGAUGGACGCACUUAAUAGAAUUCUUAAGUAUCUUUUUUCGUUUCUUCUUUUCGCCCCUUUUCAGAGAGGUUUUAAUUUCUUAUUUUCCUUAUCGUUCAUUUUCAUAAAUGCUUAAAGUUCCAAGUCCGCACAACCAGUGAAGAUUAUAGUGCGAACAUUCUGAGAGACAUCGAAGCGUCGGCAUUACGGUGUUCAACAACAAUAUGAAGCAAGCAAUUAUAUGCUGCAAGAUUGGGUGGUGAAACCAAGCAUAUUUCCGAACUUCAAAUGUUUCAAUGAAUACUCACAAUAAGAACCCUUCCAGCAGAAUCGACUGUAAUAAUCUGAAGAUAAUAACAGAAUAAUAGUAAAGACUAAAAAAUGAAUCCUCCAAUCAAAAGCUUAAAAAAAAAAAAAUACAGCAAUGCUAGAUAAUUUACACACAAUUAAUUAACAUCUUAAACAGUUAAACACCAAAUGCACAUAAACAAAAAGACACGACAAAGAAGAUACAAAUUAAAAAAAAAAAAGGUCCAUCAGUGAACUCUCUUAAGCCCUGGACUUGAAGGGAAUGGCCCUGAUGACUAUCUGGUGGUACACAGCAGCCAGUGCAGCUCCAAUGAAUGGUCCAACCCAGAAGAUCCACUGCAAUAUUAUAUUCAAAGGGAAAAACAGUGCUAAGAAUUUGAUCCGCUAGACAGUAAAAACUACAUACAAUUAGGAGCAUGUCAAUUGGGAUUGAAGAAAAUCAUACAUGGUCAUCCCAGGCAUGGUCUUUGUUGAAGAUGAUGGCAGCUCCAAGACUCCUAGCUGGGUUGAUGCCAGUUCCUGUGAUGGGGAUGGUGGCCAGGUGGACCAAGAAAACAGCAAAUCCAAUGGGGAGGGGGGCCAAAAUCUGCAGUGAAGUUAUACAAAGUGCAGCAGAUGAGAAGCAAAAUCAUCAACCGCACUCACAAGAAAAGCACUUUUAAAAAAGCACUACAUGUCACACAAACGACCAAAAUAAUCACGUGCAAGCAUCAUCAUCAAAGAUAAGAUCUUAUCACCCCAGUCCAACCCAAAAGCCCAUCUAAAUUUACUUUUUCACACAACUGCACCACCAGCCAAACUGACCAAUCAACCAUUUACCAAAAAACAGAACCAAAGCAUUGGAUUCCAGAUGAUAGAUUCAAGUAAUGCUGAAAAGAAUUUUCGAAAGUAAGCCUAAUGCAGAAUUCCACUCACUAAAGAAGAAUUAUCUAUAAUCUAUAUCCAAGAAAAAUUGAAAAAAAGAAAACAAACAACACAAUAUUCCUAAAGUAACUAAUAAUUCAACAAAUUGAACACUGAGGGUCUAACAAUAUUUGUACCGAAGAAAGGAAGAUAAAGAAUGACAUGGGGAAAGAAUGCUUACAGGGACAUGAGAGUCUCUGGCGUUUCUCUUCGCAUCAGUGGCAGAGAAGACAGUGUAAACAAGAACAAAGGUUCCAAUAAUCUCAGCACCAAGACCAUCACCCUUGGUGUAGCCGUGAGCAACAACAUUGGCUCCACCACCCAACCUCUCGUAGUUCUUUGAACCUUCGAAUCCCUUGACAACACCAGCACCACAGACAGCACCAAGGCACUGCAUGACCAUGUAGAAGACAGCCCUUGUCAGGGAAAGCUUCCUCGCUAGCAGCAGACCGAAGGUCACUGCUGGGUUGAUGUGUCCUCCUGUUGUUUAAACAGCAAAGAACAAACAGAUCUGAUCAUCAUCACCACCAUAAGAAACGAACACAAUAAAGAACCAAAAAAAAUAAUUAAAAAGUAAAAAUUAAAACUUUUUUCACGUAGAGACGUUGAAAAGUAUAAAAUUUAACUAGGAAAGUCACAAAACUUAGUCCAUAAAAGAAGCAUACAAAGAAAUCACUAGCCAGAUCUAACGAUUAGUAGACAAACCAAUGGGCAAAGGCUUUUACUUGUGCAGAAGCACAGAAACAUCAGGAAAAGAUAAAAUAAAAAAUGAUUAAAACAAUAUUAAAACUGCAUAAUGUUUGCAUUAAUACUCAUUAAAGAUUUGAUUUUUUUCCCCCUCUCUCAAAAAUGUAGAAAAAAGUGAACUUACAAAGCUAGAACUGACCUGAGAUACCAGCAGUGCAGUAAACAAGCGCAAAGAUCAUGCCACCAAAGGCCCAAGCAAUUCCUUGGAUACCGACAGUGGAGCACUUGGUGUUAGACUUAGAGACACCCAUGACAGUCAAGACAGUGAUGUAGAGGAACAAGAAGGUAGCCAUGAACUCUGCAAUACCAGCUCUGUAAAAAGACCAUGACUUGAGCUCACCAGGCUCAAACAAAGGUGCUGGUGGUGGCUCCUUGUAGUCUUUGUCUGAUUGAGCUGAUGUCCCAAUGGGUUGCCUCUCUGAGAACUUGUUAGCUCCUAGCUUAACAUCCUCUUCUUUGCCCUCCAUUGACGAUGAUGAACCUCUCUCUCGCUCUCUUAUUCUCUCAAAGAAGAUGCUGUGUUUGUGUUGUGUAUGUAGCGUAGCGAGAAAGUUGAGGAUUAAAGGGUGGUUUUAUAGAUCAGUGGUAUCACUGCCAAGCAGUAGAACAUUAUGUGGCCAUACGACAAAACUGGCUGUCUUUUUUAUUUUUAUUUUUAUUUUAAAUUAUUUCUUUUUGGCUAUUAUUUAAUUAGUUUGAUCAUAAUAUAAUUAGCAUGCUUUAAUUGGAUUUCUUUUCUUUAGAUUAAUGUGGAAGUAUCGUCGUUAAAGAUUGUAUCAGGGUUUGCCGGAUUGUUCUGGAAAGUGCCGAGAGUUGAUAGGUACUGGUUGUUUUAUUGUCCCCUCGGUCUAAUCUUCAACAGUAUUGAGCCCCCCCCCAAUUCAUUAAUAAAUGCCCAAAAUAUUUAGCCAAUUUUUAAAAGUUAAUUCAAUUUAUAAUUUUCUUACUUGUACGGUUAAAAAAAUAAAAAAAAGCAUUUUAAACAAUAAUAUCCUAUUAUUAUUAUUAUUCCUAUCACAGUUGAUAAUACAAUGACCAAUUGUGUAAUAUUAUCUUUACUUAGGUGAUCAAUUGUGUUUAGCAGCAAUAUUAUCUUACUCGGUCAUUAUUAUCCAAAAUAAGUAUAUAUUUUCACAAUAAAAAUUAAAAAAAAAAAAUUUUGAGCACUCGUAUAAAUUAAUUAUGCUUUUGAAUAUUUUUUGCAUUUGAUUAGCCGUUUCUCUGGGCCAUCUGGUCUUUCACGUAAUCCGAAUAAAGAAUGAGAACAAAUUCUUGUGGUCCUCGUUUGUAGACCCUGUUUGUUAAAUUCUUAUGAUUAAAGAGAAAUCGUUUCUUGCUUUAUUGCGAAUAAAGAGAAAUAGUAGGACCGCUCUGGGUUCAUGCCAAACUUGCCCCUAGCGGUCCGGCUCACAGAAGUCUUGCUCGAUGACAAUUGAUAUCCUUAAUUGCUUCAGGAUUAUUCACAGGAGUUGGCAGGGUAAAAUGGUCAUUUUAAGGGAAGAGCAACCGUUGCUUUUCUCGGUGAGGUAGUGGGAAAUUUCUUCAAACGGAAUGCGAAUCGCGGCCACAGAAUUAAAAGUGGGGCUGGAAUAUGGCAGGCUGAGAAAAAGAUGGCCGUUUUAUGACCGUUGGGAAAGUGACGUCUUGGAGUAGGCACAUGGGCAACGGCUAUGUGUAACAUUAUAUGACCUAAUAACCAAGUGGAAUUACUGUUGCAUCCUUAUCACAUCGUACUGACAUCAAGGGGGUCCAUUUCCUUCAAGUAAUCUAUUGUUGCGCACCUAUAAAGUGCACCGAUAAAGUAUUAGGUUUAAUUCUUUCUCCAGGUAAUUAAGUGGAAGUAUUUUUUUUAAAUAUAAAUAGUAUAAAUAUCUCGUAUUAUAUAAAAUUUAAUAUAAAUUAAUCUCAAUAAUUAUUAAACGUAAAUUUUAGUAAUAGUCUGACAUAACGUUAAUAAUGAUAUUAUAUAAUAUGAGUUGUAAUAUGAGUAACAAUAUCAAAUAAUUUAAAAAAAUUAUUAUGAUGCAUUUAUGUAAUAUCUCACAUCGUUAGCGAAUGAUUUUCUAACUUGAUUUAUAAACCAUGGACCUUUCUAACUAAGUAGAUGUGUUUUGAAUUGAAGAAUACAAUAACAAAAUGCAAUUGAUGUGUGAAUGAAUAUAUUGUAUUAGAUUAAUAUUACACAAUAUUUGGUACCAUACAAUACCGUAUUAUACAUAAUAAUUUUUUAUAUCAAAUUAAUAUAAUUUAGACUUAUUAAUAUUUUAAAGUUUUAUGUUUUUUAUUUAAAUUAAUAAUUUAAUAUUAUUAAAUAUUUCAAAUUUUAUUAUUUAAAUCUGCUGUACGGCCAAGGCGGAUGUACGGUACAGCAGACGGGCACAGCCGCGCCCAAAAAACAGCCCCCGAAGUUCGGGGUCCCAAGACCAUAAAAUAUUUAAAAUAAAUUAAAUAACUUUAAUUGAUUAACAAAAAAUGGCUUUGAAAAAGAAUCUAAUACAUACUCGCAGAAGGAUUUAGAUUCGGUGCUGAAUUAAUGUUUUUACUAACCUCUUAGAAAUACACUAAUUAGUAGUUAUGUGGGUAAAUUUUAAUUUAGUUCCAUUAAGCUUUUAAUUAAUGAGGUACAAUGCGUCUAAUUUAAGUUCACCAAACACAAGGUUCUUUAUAGUUAAUGCUGGACCACUAGUAAUGCUAGCUAUCCACUGCGUAAUGCCAAACAUGUCAUUAUAAUACUUUGAUCUCUUUUCACUAAACUUGGAUUAAAAUUUUGCCACUAAACAGUGAAUCACACCUAACAUAUUAUUACAAGUUAAAUACUUUAUUUACACACAUUUUAUAUUAGUGUCAAAGACUUAAAACGGGUUUUUAGCAAUUGAAGAAUGAUUCUUGCUUGACCUUGAUGCAAGGCUCUGAAAGGCUGGACAAAAAUUAUCUUCAAAGAAUAAAGACUUAGGUAGCGUUUGUUUUUUUGUCUGAAAUAUGAAUGUGUCUGAAUUUUUCUAAAGUCCGAAUGGGUCUGAAUACAAAAAUUUAAAUGACAUGUUUAUUUUUCUUUUUUAAAUAUCUGAAUAUAAGUGGCAUCUUGUUUGUUUUUAUUUGAUAUUUUUUAUCCUUAUAAAUUAAAACAAAAAAAUAGGAUUAGAUUUUAUAAUCUAGGAAAUAAGUUAUUUUACAGAGAUAUUUUUGGAAUAUAAUAUUUAGCAAUAUUCAGACAUUUUUUUCAUUCAGAUAAAAGUUACAAAAGUUUACUUUUUUUAUUAAGACAUAAAUAUCUUAAAAUCAGACAUAAGUUAAAAAAAAAACAAGCAUAUUUUUAAAAAAAUUUGAAAUUAAUAAAAUUUCAGACUUCAGACAUUUAACAAAUAACCUCUUACUCCUAUUUUAAAAAUUAGGCUCCAUUUUUUAUGACGGCAAUAUCUUGAAAGUAAUCACAACACAAUAUUAAACAGAGUCAUAAGGACUUUCUAACUCUUGUCCUCAAUAAUAACAACCAUUUUGCAAUUAAAGUUAGAUUGUGAAAAUUAAAAAUUGGAGGAUGGUGCAUAGAUUUCAUUAACAUAAUAAAAUGGGACUAGGGCGAAUCCAAUCAUGUCAUAGUUGUUUUUAUUUUGGCAUGACCUAACACGAUAAUGAUCGAACAAACAGCGGAGCUUGGGACCACAUGGUCUUUGUUUUGAAAAUCUUUGCUUUCUAAAAUGUGCUUAUUUUGGUGAGCCCUAUCCUCCUUUCCAAGUUUUAACUUUUAUUAAAAGGGGGCGUCAAUGAUGCUAGCCAACUCACACUGUUAGUCUUGUGCCCUGCACUCACAUGCAAACCUAGCCCCACUCCGCCACCAACAGGGUUCAUGGCCCAUGCCAACCAUUCCUGGCAUCCAAAAAUAUAUAUAUAUAUAUACAAUCAAGAGCAGGGAUUAGCUCAACCGCCCAAACCACCAUAAUCUCUCCACGCGGCACCAAUUUGAUAUAAAUGCUUGUAUUUUUCCAAGGCGGGCAGCUGACCUGACCCGACCCAGCAACCCAAGGAUGCACCAAGUGGUUCGUACUUCAUAAGCGAAGGAAGGAACCAUGAAGUUCAUGGCAUGGACUCCAAAAGCAAAAGAUCCAACAAGCAGCUCACUCACACACAGAUGGUCUUCACCAGAAGAUGCCUUGACCACGCAAAGUGAUGGCAACAUUUCUCCUAUUUGCUUUUCAGCAAGAAAUUGUGACCCGGCGUUUCAUCUUGAAGGAAAUGAUGGGGAUAUUUCUUUUUCAAUAGAAAUUUAGCGCUGGAAACACAGCAAUAAUAAAAGAGCAUCACUGAUCUCUAAUCAUUUUCCACCAUCUGAACCGCAUUCUGAUCAAUGAAAAGCUGAACAUAUAUAUAUAUUUUUUUUUGAACUGAUUAAGCAUCAUGUUACUGUAUUACACAGAGAUAUAUAUAAUUGCUAUGACAGUAGGUCAUUACACUGAUAUUUACAAUCAGAUAUAUACAUGAGACUUAUAUUAUUAUAUUUUUAUUUUAUGAAGUACAUGCCCAUCCAAAUACCCCUCACGGAGGAGGGAUGUCUCUACUCCACUCGCAUUUUGCAAUGGGAUGUCUCUACUCCAUUCGUAUUUCACAAGGGAAAAAGACGUUAUAAGAAAUCUCCACACAAUUAUAUUUAAUUGAGGGAGGUUGAGUCCGUAGGGACUCGAACCAUUGCCCUCAUAGUCAUGCUUAACUUUGUGGGCAAUAGUUCACAACUGGACUAUAAGCCCAAGUGGCAAAAGCUGAACAUAUUAAUCGUGGGUUUGAGUUGUUUUUCUUGUUCACGGCAAUAAAAUUGGCCGAAAUUUAUUCCUAGCAUUCAGGAAAUAUUCAGUCCUUAGCUAGACGCCUAGACUCUUCUCAAGUUUAACAAAGACCUUUUCCUAGCUCCUGAAACUGGGGAAUCCGAGAAAAUUGCUUAAAAGGCAAACAUAGUAUUGCCAUUGUGCCGUUCAAUUCAAAUGUUUCAACACUAGAAAUAAGAGAAGAUAGAAUUUCACUUAAAAGCAGCAGCAUAGGUUCACACUCUUCAAUGAUACAAUCACCUCGUUAUGGAGACAUGGCGGAUGAUGAAUCACCGGAGAUACCAUGACACCUGAAAUUUGCUACAAAUCCCUGAAAAAAUUAUAAGGUAAUCAAUGGAGAUCACAACAUGAAGAUAAAGGAAUAAUGACAGCAAAAACCAAGUAGGCGUGUCAUUGGGAAAGGAAAUUUAUUUAUGUCAAAAGACAUUACAAUUAGGCCCCAGAUUAAUUGAUGAUCACUUGGGCUUUCAUACAACAUUCCACUGUUAUGCUAAGCUUGACAGGCUAUUUUUUCAACCGAUUUCCAAUGAUUAGAGAUAUACUACAAACUCUACAUCAUAAUUACAACAAAAGAAGCCUUAUUUUUCUACAUUUAGUUCAUGACUGUGUUGGAGAUGGACAUGGGGGCAGGGCCUUUCCGGUUCUCCUCUUGUCCAUAGAACCCUGAGAUCGCCUCUCUUCUUCCCCAAUGCCAGAAAAGUCCCUGCAUGAACAUGUCAAAUUUACCAGUUCAUUAGAAACUUUUAGCCAUUUUGCAUUAUCAAAUGAUUUCAUACACAUGGUUUGACUUUAUUACCUAACGUGAAUGGGACAAUAUAAAGCAGAGCAGGUUGGCCGUGGCCAUCCAUCAAGUUCAGUGCCACAUAUGUGAUGAGAAGACCUACCAUAAAAAAGAUUAGUAAAUUCAGAAUGGAAAAACCUUGAGAUAUACAUUUAAAUAUGAUGGCAACAGGAAAUAGCAAAUUUGGGUCUUUUUAACAUCUUAAUUAUCUUUCAUUUCCAGAAAAUUCAAUAUUGUGUUUUCAAUCUUACAACUUGUAAGACAAAGAUGAUUUGUUUAUUAUCUCUCAACUUACACGAGAAACACGAUUUGUUUAUUAUUUCUUACCUAAUCCAUAAGCCAACAUUGCCCACAAAAAGUAUCCAGCCUGAAGACUCUUAUUUGCUAGCCAGUCGUACCUGUGAUGAUGAGCCAAGCACAAGCUACUAUAGGUUUUUUCAUGCGCAACUUAUUGAUUAAGUUAAGAAUUCACUCGCUGGAAAGCAUAUAUCCAGUGGGAUGAAAAAUAUUUGCAAUAAUACCAGAGGCAGUCACCAAAGUAUUUAGGAAGUAAAAGCUUGCGAGUACAAAGCACUAAUAGGGAUGUGGUGUGAGGAAAGGUCAGAGAGCUUGAACCUGAGUGAAAAUGCUAUAAUCAAUCCAGGUAAAAGAAUAUCACCAAAACCGAUGAUGCUGUAACCGCCCCAUGGGUCAAACAUGCGAGGAAUCUUCAAUAGCAUUGGGAUACCAUCCUCACCACUUUUAUCGCCACGUGCCACCUAUGAAAUGAACAUUGAAGUAAUUCUCAGCAUAUGAAGCUCCUUUUCUACCUUCACAAGGCCUGAUAGUAGUCUAAAUAGAAAAAUAGAUAUAAAUUCAAACAAGGAGGAAGAAUAUUUACCACAAUCAUCACACUUUCAUGAAACAACUUCUUGGAAACAAAUACCCAAAAGAUGUCGUACAUGAAGGCACAGCUGAGAAGAACUGUACCCACCUGAUCAACAAACCACCUAGAAUUAGCCAAAUCCAUUCUAUCUAAAAGCUGAACAUAAACUAAUCAAUAUAAAAUUACCAAAGAAUUUAGAUUAUAAGCAAAAUUUAAAUGAAAUAAGACCAUCAUCAGUUAAGGAUUAAAGACGUGAAAUUAAGGCAAUGCAAUCAUAAAUAGAACACGAAUGAUGCCUUCCGUUAUGCAAACUCUUGAUUCUGAUAAACAGCUCAUAAUUACAGUCACAAAUAAAGCCAACAGUAAAAAUGUAAUUGAAAAAAAAAAAUUGACAAUAAACAGCAAGAAGAAAAUCUACUAUUCCCUUUUUAUCUCCUGCAAGAGUUCGAAUGAGUAACAGAACUAGCAAGUCUAGCAUAAUCAAAUUUCAAGGUGAUCACCUUUGCACAUCAUAUUCUUACAUUCCCACAAAAACAAAGCAAGUAUAUAAGCAAUAGGGACUUGAAGCAAGCCCAACCAUUAUAACAAACUACACAAUGUUCAGCGAUGCCAGAUUAGUCAGCAGAAGUACUUUAAUUUCAGUUUUCUUUUAGUAGAUCACACAAAAAAAAAUCCGUUCACACGAAAGCUCUUUAAGAAAACAAACAAACAUUACCGAUGAAAAGAAUCCAAGCAUUAACAUAUUGCCAUAUUCCGCCAAUGUCGCAAUUGAGACAUUACCUUGAGAUUAGGAAUAUGGACAAUUUGCAGGACUGUUAUUAUCAGCGCAAUUCCCUGAUUGAAGGAAAAAAAUAUUAGUUGACUCUGCCCAUAUAAGUCAUCCAUCUUCACCUCCUCAAAAUUAUUGUUAGAUAACAUGUGAGAGAUGUUAUACUUCAUCCUUAAAAGUGAUCAUUAGUGUGGUAUCAUAAAUGAAAAAUGAAUAGCCAGAAGCAAGCAAAGUGGAUUUUCUUAAAGGUGUUCAUCAGACAAGUAGCAAUAUUUAGCAUCGUGGCUUUUUUUUUUUUUUUUUUCCCCUUUGCUAAGAAUCCGCAGAAUGAUUGCCACGCCUUAAUAAUGAUCAAACUUAAAUUUCAACAAACACAGAAAAUAGUAAUGACUUCCAGUAACUUUUUGCUAAGAUAAGUGAAAAAACAUAUUAUAUCGUUAGUAAAAGAUAGAGAAGUAUAUGCUUACAAGAAUAUCUUGACCGAUCCAUGCAAAGGAGACCUUGCGAUAAAUGGCCCACACAACAGCAAAUGCUAUGCAGAAUGGAGUAACAGCCAAAGUAAGAUGAGAGACAGCUCCAAAGAAAGGUACUUUGAUGAAUGAUUCUCCAGCACGUCUGAACCACCUGCCCAAGUAUGUUUACAUUUAAUGAUUAACCUUAGAAAGACAACAGUAUGAAAAUCCAUAAAACUGAAAGAACAACGAGUAUGUGGGUCCAUAAAUCCAUCAGGGAAGCCCAUACAAACUACGAGGAUAUGCAUGGAAACAAGGCCAGUAAUGAACAUUCCUCAGGCAUGGAAGGCAUGCUAAUGGACCCAACCCUUCCCCCCCCUCCCUCUGCCGCUUUAAAGUGGCCACAUACCAAUAGAAAAGACCUUGAUUGAGCCUCCCAAGUCAAGAUAACUGAACUGUUUAAAACAGCCUAUUACAAGACAUGUAGCUGUUUGAGAGUCCACCACGAAGAUUAUGUCAACGUUGAAAGUUGUAUUUAAAAUGGAGAUAUUUUUACCUUGAUAAUAAAGCAACCAAGCAAGUUUGCAAGCCCUGCAUGUACAUGAAACAAUGGAAUUAGAAUUGAUUUGUUCUUAUGUUUAUAUUGCAAGAGGAGAUGUACAUACAAGUUCAAGUAUUUGUGUGAAAGGGAAUGCAUACCUCUACACCACCUAUGCAGAAAAGAAUGACCAAUAGCUCAAGGAACCAGUUUGACAUAAGUUUGUAAAGCAUGACCAAGAAGCAUGAAGCAACUAAAACGAAUAGGACAGCAGAUGCUGUGUUAAUGUCCACAACACCACUAACACCUACUGCUUUGGCAUCUGGAAUUUCAUCUACAGCAUCCUAUAUGAACAUUAAAAAUUUGAAUCAGCAAGUAGUUAUAAGCUGAGAAGAGAAAAACAAAACAUUAGGGAACAAAAAUAGAAGGCUGAUCCUAGUUAUUAAAAAUUUAUUCAGAUGACAACCUUCAAUAACUUCUCUUGUUCAAUAGCUGUGUCUCUGGCACUCCAUGCGGACCAAUAAGAUGCACACAGGAUGGUACCAACUGCCAUCAACCAUAAAAAUACUUCAGCUACAUCAACUACCGGUCGUCGUGGAGAAUAUAACUGCACAGAGACUGCAAAAAACAAAAAGUCUCAGAAACACAACCGGUGCCAAUUCUUAAUGAUGUAUUCUUUUGAAAGAAAAUUGCUGAAACAAACAUAAAAUAAGAUGUUAAAGUUCAUCUUUUUCUGCAUGCACAAAAAAAAAAUACGCAAAACGUUUUACUUACCUGAUGAAGUAUUCAGAAGCAUCUUUUCCAAGCUGGCACCAGCAUCCUGGGGCAUCAUGACAGCUGGUAUGUGUAUAUCUAGAUCAGUUUCAUCAGGAUCACAGACCAUCUUAUACAGUUCUGCAAAGGCAGUAAAAGGAAAAAAAAUAAGUUGUAAGGCCAUGAUUGAUCAGUUAACAUUGCAUUCCAUCUGCUAUUCUGCCAGGCUAUUGUGCUUUUAUAUUGGAUGAUGCUAUAAAGUAGAAUACUCUAAACAAGGCCCUAUAUCAUGACCAUAAAAAAGCGGAAAAUGCGAUUUAUAAUAAGGUCCUUUUUUAGUUUCAGGUGAUAUAAAGAAGCAUUUGCUACUCAAUUUUUGGUGCUUGCACGAGAACAAAAAAAUGCUGAUUACCUUUUUGGUUAUUUAUGAUGAGGAGGGCUGAAGCACCAGCAGCCUCCGCAAUAUUUGCUUUAGUUGUAAAUUUGCAGUUGCCUCGGUCAACCAUGAUGACAUCUCCAGCAUACUAACAGAAUCCAGAUAACACAUUGACUUCAAUAAACAUUUACUACAUUCCCCAAAUGUGUAUAACCAUGGGUAAAAUAUUAAGAGUAUUAAGGUAGUUCAAAAGGAAAAACCUUAUGCUUUGGCAUGCUGCAACAAUCCCGGGGAUGUGAAAGAGUAAGGUGAAUCUGGUUUGCAUUUUUCUCCUUUGACACUAUUGUGGUGCCAAAUCUAGCACCCACACCAACAAAUUCUUCAUUCUCUAUGCCAUCAAUCCACGUCUGAACUUUUACCUAACAAAAUGCAAUGACCAUUAAUGGUUAAAUUGCACAGAUAAAAACAUCAUAAAGCUAAAGGAGGCAAUCCAUACAGUAAGCUAAUCGAUGCCAACAUUUCUGUAAAACACAUAUAGCUUACUACUAUCUUUAACGCGGAUCACAUUGUGUGCAAAAGCAUGUUUAACAGAGAAUUUGUAGUUGUCAUUCCAAUAAAAGCUACCCAAAAGCAGCCGCAAACCAAAAUGAUAAACAUGAAGAAAGAAAAGAGGUAGGUAACUGAAUAAUGAUAAAAAGAAAGUAGGUGGCUCUCAUCUUAUUUUAUUACUCCAACUAGUUUUAAACUUUCUCAAGACCAGAUAACCCAAGUGAACAAUAGCAGUUGAAUUGAGAGAUAUAAAACAUAACACCAUCUGCAACUUUACUGGUAAAGCAUCAUGGUGAUUGAAACCACAUGCACCCAAUACAAGUCGCAUAAGUCCAGAAAACACAAGCGAUCAAAAAAUCAAUCACACAAGCAACCCAAUACCCACUUCACCUUUUUAUGCCUAUUUUAUUUUUCCCCAGGAAUCAAGUCCUCCGAAGAUAAACAAAAAUCAAUGGAAAACCAGCUAAAGUACUUCCAUAAUCAUAAUCUCAAUCAAGAUAUAAAUAGCAACAGUUAGCUGCAAAAUACAAGAAAUUCAAACUAAACACAUAUAAGAUAAGCAAAUUGAUUAUUGUUACCAUCAUGAUCAGCUUACAUAACUAAGCCAACAAGGGGGGCAGGUGAGAAUCAAAAAGACUAAGAACUGGGUAGACAAGAAGAUACCAAAACGAAGUCGUUCUCACAACCAGGCUUCUUUGGAGCCAAAUCGUCGUCGUGAACUAUGUCACCAGCUGUGACAGAUGCUGGAUAACAGACAAGGGAAACUACAGCAACCGGAAAGAGAACCCAGCUUAAUCUCUUGAAAUCCAUGAUUUGAAGUUCUCUUUUAUGUCCUCUUUCUCCGCAUCACACAAUCUGAGAGAAGAGAUGGGUGGAGAGAGAGAGAGAGAGCGUGUGACACAGGCAGUGUUUUUUGUUCCUGUUUUCUCUUUCUGUUUUGUUCUUGGUUAGUUUAGUAGCGGUACUGUAACAAAUGAUUAAAAUAGUGACGAUUUAGAAAUUUUACGCAAGCUGAAAAUAGAAUAGAAAUAUUAAAUGGGAGCAAUACCAGUCAACGUCCCAACUUUUUAUAAUUUCGCAAGCGGGGACAUAGUUUUUUUCAUUUGUAUUAAAUAGAUCCCUCACUGAAUAGCAAUGGUUGAAACACGGACACCCCCAUCAGAGUUCUUCUUCUUGGUUGCAUAUUCAUUCGUAUUUCUUAACAAGAACAGGCCAACAGGUGAGUGAAUGCUGACGCUAACAAAUUGAAGACGAUUGGGGUAAUUUUGUCAUUUCUCCAGGAGUCAGGGACCUUUUUUUUCCUUUUCCGUCUUGUUUUGAUGUAAAUAAAUAAACUAGGGACUUUAAUGUUAUAAACCCGAAUAAUGAGAACCGUGCGGAUCUACUGCUUUAAUAAAUGCGACCUGUGACUGGGAGUGGGCGGCACAGCGAAUGCGAUGUCGACCGAUGCAACGAACCAACAUCAUAUCGUAUCGUAUCGAUUCAGAACGACGUCGUCUAGCGGAUGAAACACUGUAUUUCACUGGUUUUGGCUCCACGUGAUUUUAACAGUCGCAACAGUCGUUUAUUAUCAAAACAUGUUUUUUUUUUCUUUUAAGUUUAAUCCUAUUUUAAUUCAAUUAAAGAUCCCUAAGUUAUAUGCACGUAACUUAUAAUCUUUUCACAUAAAUAGUGAGUGGACCAGCCUUCAAUUAAUACAAUCAAGAAUGUACAUGAUUAGAAAAUUAUUGGUAAAAAUAGAAAAAGAAAAACAACAAAAUGAAGAUGGGAAGUCACUUCAAGUUGUCUCUGAGAACAUGAUCGAUGUUGUGAGAUGUGUGUCCUAGUUUUGUAUUGUUGUUGCAUGAAGAAGAAGAAGACGACGACGAAGGACCCCGACAUGUACUGUCGAAGGCUGUUAUCUUGUCCUUCGAUGUUAGACCAAGCAUGUGCCCAUUAGCCGGAGAAUGCUACGGUACAGAAUCUGUACCUUACAGCACCCUCACAAAAUGGCUGUGUGCCCCACUUGGGCCCACUUUUCAUUUUAGUGUGCAAGGGUGGUGGCUGUAAGUAAGGUACAGAUACUGUAACUUAGCCACAGCCGUGCCGAUUAUUUACCCCUACUACCUGCAACUACUGGUCCUUGAAUAAAGGAUAAUGGAGCAUUCCAAAUUGAACAAUUAUCUACCCGUAGAAAAAUGGUAAAAAGGAAAACGAAUUCCAUUAUUUAUUUAUUUAUUUUCCUUCUGUUGGGUGUGCAAGCAAGUUAUCGUAGUGGCUUCAAUUUCAUCAGUUCAUGAUAUAGUUAUUAAAAUGUUUUAUGGAAUAUAGUACUCUUAUCCUUCUUAAAAGUAAUAUAAAUUGUCCAAUCGUUCGGUUGCUUUUGGAGAUUAGCAUAAUCUAAACUUAAUGGCUUGUCUUUUAUGAUGGGCCAAUUAAAGCACCUGAAUUUGCAUCUUGUCAAUUGUCAAAACAGUCUAGAGCAAUAUCUGUACGCACUUACUUCGAAGCAUCCUUUGGCCAUAAAGCUACAAGGUAGGGAUAAUUCUAUGAGCAACCAAUGUUCGACUUUUAUUAAGGUUGAUCUGGUGAAGGUUUUGAAAUUUUGAGCUGAUCUUUCAUAUAUAAAGACUAAAUUACGCCGCCGGCGAAUUAAAUUAAAUUAAAAAAAAGGAAAAUAAAAUUAUUAGCUGGAGAGAAUCCAAUGAUGUUAUUUUUUCUUAGAAAAUGAGUAAUGUCAAUUAGCUAAAAUAAAUAUUGAUUUGAUUUGCUUUUAGAACGUGAAGAAAGAAAGUAAACAGUAGGAAGAUUUUUUCCAGCAAUCAAUUCUAAAGCAGUUAAAAGUCACAUGUCUGGGUGAAAAACUUUCUGAGAUGAGAUGACAAAAAUAAAGAAAUUGGAAACAAAAUCCAGUGGAUUCUGAGCACAUGGUUUCACUGUUCUUGAGAGAGCUGAAAUGGCAAGGCAACAAAGAGAGAAAAACAGAGCAUUAAAUCCAACUUCUGAUAUCAACAGGCUUUGAUCCAAUAGAAGAAACCUUACACUUAUAAUGUUAUAAUGUUGAGUGCAAGAGUUUGAGUCUCUAUAAAAAAUUUAUAGAGAUUAGUUUUAGUACUCCCUCAAUUAUCAACUAAUUGAGUGGAGACAGUCUUUUUCUUACGAAAUGUGAGUAGAGUAAGAACCUCUCGAAUAUUUGUGAGAAUUGAAAGUAUCUAGACAAGUGCUUCCGUGUGUUAAUGUAUGGCAGUGGUUCCAGUUGUAUAGUAUGAUUAUAAACAUUAAUUUUAAUAGCUGAUGUAAUGUCAAUAAUCAUUUAUGUAUAUCAGAAUUAAAAACAAAUAUGUAUAACAAAAUUAAAAAAAAAAAAAAUCCAACUUCAGAUAUUGCACAAUGAAAAAGGCAGAUGCCCAGAUAAAGGACAGAAUGCCUGCCAACACCCCAUUCACAGCAUUCUUCACUGUGGGAUUUAUUUCUAUGUGCACAAUAGUUUGCAAGAUCAAACUAAAUAGCCUUUUUCAUCCAGCAUUCUCUUCAAAACAAAGAAUUCGUAUAAUUCUUCCAAGAAAAUACCUACUGCAUGCUUCGCUGGUAAAAAUUUAAAGAAUCACAUCACAGGCCAAAACAAUGUAAAGCAAUAUCUAUUUAGUAAUGAGGCAUCAAGGGCAUUAUUUGUUUAGAAAAGUUUGCUAUAAAAUCUAGAGGUGAGCGGUAACUACUUAGGGAAUAGAUAAGCAUCUGUAAUGCUUGGGAUUUGACAAUGCCUAAGUCUGCCAUCAGCUCUAUAAUCUGAUUGGCUGAGGAGGUUGUUGGUAACAAAGUUUUCUGAUGAUGCAUAGCUUCCCCCAGGAAACGUUAUAGCUCCUCCGUUCAUUUGAAUGCCUAAUGUGUUAUCAUUCUCUUGGGGUAUAUUUUCCAAAAGAAACUGGCUGGGAAUGCUAAAACCAUUGGUAUACUGAUGAAGUGGGAUAGGACAUCCAAUUCCAGUGCUCGAACUCUGGUUUCCACUGUGGUUUAAAUAACGGGUGUCUAUGGAACCCAUUUGAGCAAAACUUGUACUCUUUCCUUCUAGCUGUAUGUUUGGAAGAUAUCCAAAAUGAGUGCUACAAUCAUGCAUUUGCUUUGCCUCUUCUAAAUUCACACUGGUUUUGUUCUCAGAAACUCUUGGUUGAAUAUAAUUACUCAAAAAGGUGUCAAGCCUAUUGUUCGAGUCAUGGGACUUGGUUAAGACUGUAGGCAAGGUUAAAUACAUAGAAGAAGCUAACUGUUGAGUGGGAUUGCUGGGUGAAAAGCUUUGUUCAACAGAUAAUCUCAUCCUUUCUGCUUUGUCCUUAUCAGUUGAUAUCAUGGAUUCAACGGCUUGGCUGUAACCAACUCGAUCUUCCCGUGCUUGGUACUGUUUAUUGAAAUUACCGGUCCUUUUUCCCUUUAUAGACCUCUCUGAAGACCCAUCAUUGCUAUUUAGUGCUCUAAUGGCCAAUACAACACUCUUUGGAUGCUGCACCUGAACAUUCUGGUCGGAAGCACCAGAAGUGUUAACAGUUAAUGCUAAUUUCUUUCCUUUCUCCUUUUCUAGUGAUGUUAGUGGCCCAGUGGGUUGGCCGCAGGCAACUUGAUCACUAGUCUCUGAUGAUUUGUUGCUUUUAGUGAUCUUUUCUAAAGAUUCAAUUCUGCUGUUUUGAACUCUCAAGCCUGAUUUGAAGUUGUUGAGGUAAUGAACUUCAGUGUCCUCCUCAAAGUUGUUUUGCUGUUGUCUGUGGACAAUUGCUCCAUUAUUGUUCAGAUGUUGCGCUCGGACAUCCUCCUCAUUGUCGUUGUGUUGCUGAAAAUGCACAUUCGUCUCAAAGUUGUUGUGCUGUUGGGAUUGAACUUUCUUUCCUCUGGAAUUGCGUUUUGAAUUGCGUUUUCUCCUCCCUUUCUUCAGAGCAUUAUCAUCAGCAACCAACUUGUUCAUUUCGUCCCUCAUCCAUGAAAACAAAUUUGCUCUUUUAACUUGAAGCUCCUCUAAUAAAGACUCAGUGAAGUUUUUAACACCAUGUAUUGCAGCAGGGUCAUAAACAAUACUUUUACUCUUCUUUCUAUUGAUUCCUUGACGAGAAUCACUCUUCACUUCACCAUCAGCAAUAUUCUGCUUACUAACCCUUUUGAUUUUCUUUUCUUUACCUUUUGCACAUUCAGUUUGAUCCCCAAGACCAGGAUUGCUGCUGUGGUUCAGCUCAAGCCUACUAGCAUUGCAAGUUUCAUCAUCAUCAAGUGAAAUCAUGCUAGAGGCCAAUUUAUGCUUCUUGAGAACUAGCUGACCAAUUGAACUUGAUUUUGAAUCGUCACUUGAAGAAUCUAAGUCAUUAUCUUUCCUCCUGAACUCCCAGCGCUGCUGAAACUUCAGCUCAUCUUUCAUUGUAGAGUUGGGUGACAUCAUAAAACUAAAAACUGUACUGACCUGGGACAGUACGUUCACCAAAGUAAUCUUGGAUCACCCCCUAUAACUUGAUUCCAACACCUGGAGAUUUUUAAAAUUAAUUAUUGGACUCAGUACUAAAAUCGACUUCUCAAUAAAAUGCUAGGGAAUAUAGCUAAAUAACAAAAGAAAAGGGAAUGAUGAAAUUAUGGGUCAAACAUUAGGAGUAUGCUAUAGUGAUAUGAUUUUUUAUUUGUACGAUGAAAAAUUUAUUAUAUCUUUUAUAAUUUUAUCAAAAUUAUUAUUUAAGAUUCUGGAUUUGAUAUAGAACAACUUAAUAUUUCUUCAUUCAUUCUUAUCCAAUCACAAAAGAACCCCUUUUGAGUAGAUGGGUUAAUUUCUUCAUCUUGAUGAAUUGUAAAAUAAAAGGGGAUUCUAUUAUUAAUUGCAUCAAUUUUUUUAUAAUUAUUGGACCCAAUCCUAGUUUUUUUAUUACUGCUGGUACCAAUAUUCAUAUCAACCCAAGCUUCCAUUUGGCCUUAAUUUUUAAGACAAAAAUUAAGAAUGCUCUAAUUAAAUUGUAUUUAUUAUAUAUUAUUAAAUUUUUUUUAUAAUUACAAUUCUUUUUUCACAGCAGUUGUAGUUUAAAAAUUACACCGCCUCAAUCUCAAACAAAACCUAUAUUAAAUUAAGAUUACAAACUUGAAAACUCUCUAAAAUUCUAGUUCUACAACUUAUACGAUACUCAUCGAAAAAAAAGAGACAAAAGUUAACAUGCAUUUAGCCGGUAUAUAUUUAACAAUUACGGGGAAAAAAAGUCGGAUAUUAAAAAGCAAGAGCAGAACUAGCUCAGUGAAGAUUGAGUACCUAAAUUUCACAAUUCGGGACGCCAAUUUCUACAUAAACUCACAACCUAACAAUCAAGGAAGAAAUUUAAACCUGACCUCUGUUAACUUAUCCAUCAGACAUGCCAAAAAAAUCCAAUGAAUUCAUAAGCUUGCUUAACGAUUCAACAUACGUGAUCUGUACAUAAAAAAUUAACAUAGCAACAUGUCCAAAAAAUGAAAACAAAGCUGUUUGCAGCAUCAACUUAUAAAACCAGAAACCAAACAAGCAUUCAGUUCCGAAGUUAACAACUUCUGGCAAGAUCACUCUCGCAAACACAAACCUUUAAACAUGAUAAGGCAGAUAAACUAAACGUUCGAUGUGGGUUGAAAUGUGUUCUUACUUACUGUGAAUUGCUGAUGAUAGGGAUCGUUCCUCUUUUCACAAGUCCCACUUCUAACAAAGCUGUGUCUGAGUCUCACUGCAUUUAUGUUUCCACUUUCUCUCUGUAAGGAAACAGCGAAUACGUUUUCAUCUGUCUCCUGUUUUGUUUCCAUAUGUGCAAGGAAGAGUCUCUGCUGAGAGAGUGUGUGUAUGUGUCACGGUGUCAGGGUGCAUUUGUGUUUGCUAGUGUUUCUGUUUAUGUCAGUGUGAGUUGGGUCUUAGGUGGGAUGUGACUCAGAGAGUUAUGACCGAUGGGGAUGGUAACGACAAUUAACCAAUAUUAAAUCACAGGUUUUAAUUUUCUUUAAAGAAAUUAAUUACAUAAUUUCCUACCUUUUAAUCAAGUUCAGAGCUCUUUUUUUAUUAAAAAAAAAAAAUUAUUAUCACCUGUUUCCAUCAAAGCUAAGCUAAGCAGAUUUCUUGCCAUGUAUGUGUCUCUUUUGCCUUUACUGGAGAUUUGCACCUUACUCUUAUGCUAGUUUCCUUCAAGUACUUUUUGGCAGCUGUAAAAGAAGUCUCAUUUCUUAUUCUUUUGAUUCUUUUUUUUUUUUUUUUUCUCAAAGUAAUAAAAUCAUAAACUUCUAUGCUGUAAAUUAGGGGAUAAUUUUCUUUGGAUGGCAAGUUACCAUAUCAUGCUAAAAUAAAUGCUUAACCAGAUUUGGUAUUGUAGUAGGAAAAAUGAUAGAAUAUCUCUAAGAUAUCAUGUUACUCAUACAAUAUAUAAAUGAUAUUAUAGUAUGUGUAUAUUUAUUUUCAAAAACUAAUAAUUAAGUGAAAAUUAUAUAAAAUAAAAUGAAAAUGGAAGUUAUAUUAAAUUAAUUCGUCUUGCAGUAAUUAUUGCAUGCAAGACAUAUGGAGGAAGUAAUCAGGUAAAAACAAGCUGGUCAAUUCAUUGCUUUGCAAAAGGCAUGCAUCAACUUAACACAUGAGUUUCAAAAAUUGAUUGUUAUGCCAUAUAUUUCACAAUCAAGGCACAGAAAUGCAUGAGCAUUACCCUUACGGGGAAAGACUUCUUUGACCAUUUUCUUUCAACAAAAUAUCAAAGCUGCAUUCAUUCAUUUGAAGUUAUGGGCUGAGGCACGACCAUUUUGUUUUUCUUUUUCACACGUGAUAUUAAAUAGAUUUUAGCAUUGUCUACGAAUCCAGCUGGCACAAAAUUACCAACAAAACGAAGGCAAUUUGUUUGUCCAAUUUGACUCCAAUUUUGCUAGUGAAAUAAAUCCCUUAUCCCUAAAACUUCAUGUUUAACAAAUAAUACGCAUCUCAAAUCAGAAUUUGUUACGAACAAACUUCGCUCACCGAAAUGGGAUGCAUCAUUGGUUCAACGAAGGUGGUUUCGGUCAUUAAUUUACAUUUCCAUAAAAUGAUCGGUACUAAGUUUCAGAGAUAUAUCCACUUACAACAAGAUACCUUCAAAAUUUGUUGUAUUGCCUAAUAUCUCUGGAGCUUUUCUGGAAUAACACCAUCAUAUUAACCAUGCCGAAAGAGCCCAAGCAUCAUCAUUUAUCUAGUGUAGGACUCUUAAUGGCUUCACUUCAAAUAUAAUGUACCCUUAUAAAUGUACACCCUUGGGGCAUUUAUCUAACUCAAGGAUUCAAACCAUUUCUUUGUAUUUAAGUGCAAAGAUUCUGGCCUCUCUUUUAAUGAGACUCUGGUAACCUGCAGCAGCAUGAAGAAUGGUUAAUACAAUGUUUGUCGAGGCAUUUAUAACCUAGGAAACCACAUAAGAGCAGCAAAUAAAUUCCCACAUCAGCAAACUGACACUGGGCAGUAAAAAAAUAAAAAUUCUUUGGUAGAGCUGUUUACGUCCUUAAUCUAAUGCUCAGAAGUAUCAACCAAGAAUGUGUAAAGGAGGGAAAGAAUAGAGUUAACUUACCGCCAUGGGAAUUCACUAGUGUCUAUUCCUGCUUGGUGAAGUUCAUCAACAUACUGCAAUGCUUCCCUGCUUUCCUCACGGUCAUCAAAGAACUCCUUUUUGUCACCUUCAAUUUGAUAUGUUUCAUGACCUUUGCCAGCAACUACCUGGCAACAUUGAUUAUAAAAUCAGAUAACAAGGAUAUAAAUGAUUAAAAUCACGAUAACAAGGGAGGACGGGCAAGGAUAGGUAUUGAUUAAUCAAUAAACCAUUCAACAAUGCAAAUUGUAUAUACCAUCUGUUUCCCAAAUGUCAAACAGAGAUCUGAAAGCUACAUGCAAAAUGAUUUGUUUAAAUUACAGAAAACUGCAUUUAAAUUUACUUUGCUUUACAAAACAGCUAGUUUUUGGAACAUUUUCGCCUUCUUUGGUUAACCAUACCCAAGUCCUUCGAGCUACUCAUAAUAAAAACGUAAAUAUUCAAUAUCUUAUGAAUAUUUCAACUUCAGAAAAACCACUAUGAUCUGGAACUAACCUACUUACUUUCUGUGGUUCUGCAUACCCUGUCAGUUUCAAGCGUAAACUUUAUAUACCCAUUUCUAUUGUUGUUCAACAUAAAUCCAAACAAAAGAAAAGCAUAAUGGGAUACAGAAACUUACAACCAUAUCACCUUCUUCACCCAUGGCAACAGCACAACGUACUGCUACUCUUCUGAUAUCAUGCAGAAAAAGACGAUGACCAUUUGGAAGAGGAGGGUAGUAAUCAUUCUCUCCAUAUUUCAAAUACUCCUGCAUUGUCCAUCCCACACCAGCCAACAUGUCAUCCAAGAUGUCCACUGGGGAGAUGAAAUAUACAGGCAUUAGUUCCAGAGACUGCAUUACUAGUCAUUUUAGUGUGUGUUUGUAGAACAUUAUAUACGUACGUGGAUCUUCAUUCAUUGGAUUGUCUGAUGUCAGAAUAGUCACAUCACUUUUAUCCGUCGCAAUUUUUGUCAUCAGAGGUCUCUUACCUCUGUCACUCUCACCAGCACAACCAACGACUGCAGGUAAAAGUAAAACAAAUAGGUCAGGGAAGAGUCCAAAAAUGCAAAAUAAUGGAUCUAGUCACCUUAGGGCAAAAUUAGAAGAUGAUGUUACUUUCAUAUACAGAACACACACGCAUUUUAUAUAUGAAGCAUACCAGUUAUUAUCCUCCUUGGUGCAAGCUCCCUCACUGAAUCAAGUAGUCUAGAAAGGGCAUCAGGAGUAUGAGCAUAAUCCACAAUCACCCCAAAUGCUUGCUCCUCAUCUAUCAACUCACAUCUCCCUGGAACUGCAUCGACCUCUUCAAUCCCUCUCACAAUAUCCUCCAAUGGCGCACCAACUGCUAUUCCAACCGCAACAGCUGCAAGAAUGUUGUAAAUAUUAUGCCUUCCAAGCAAUCCUGAAGAAAUCUCCAGUAUCCCAUGGGGGGUAUUAACCAAAACCUGAGUCUCAAACAAUGAGAGUUCAAACUUCAAAGGAUGAACAUCUGCUUUCUUAUUCUCCAUUGCAAAUGUCACAACAGGCACAUCUGGGUUCCCUUGAGCAAUAAAAGACGUGGCAUUUGGGUCAUCAAUGUUGACCACCUUCCUAUGUCUCUCUGGAUCCACCAUCCUCGAAAACAACUUUGCCUUGGCAUUCCUAUACUCCUCUUCAGUCCCAUGAAAAUCCAUAUGAUCCCUGGUCAAAUUAGUAAAAACCGCAAUAUCAAAAUCAACCUCACUGCAUCUCCCUAAUGCCAAUCCAUGAGAAGAAGCCUCCAUGACAACAGCCUCAGUUCCAUUAUGGAGCAUCUUGGCCAUCAAAUUUUGAACCAUAACAGCAUCUGGGGUCGUUCUUGGUGAUUCCAACUUAUUGUCCCCAUGAAUGUAAUAUGAAACCGAGCUCAACAUCCCAGUCCUCAACCCCAUUGCUUCAUACAUUCCUUUAGUUAAAUAAGCAGUAGUUGUUUUCCCAUUAGUACCAGUUAUCCCAAUCACUGCCAUAUUCUUCGACGGGUGCCUAUAAAAAGAGGCAGCCAAUGCAGGCAACACCAAAUUAGUAUCCUCCACAAUCACCAAAGCCUUACAACCCAAAGUCUCCUCUAUAUCAAUCUCUUUACUAGCAACGACAGCAACAGCACCUCUCUUAUCAGCCUCACUCAAAUACAAAUGUCCGUCAGUUUUCCUCCCAACACAACACACAAACAAAUCACCAGCACUCACCACUCGAGAAUCAUGGUGUAUUCCAGUGAUCUCAACCUCUAAAUCACCGUAAACAGAAACUGGCACCACCUUACUCUCAUCUAACAACUCAGCUAAACUCAUUUUAAACUUGGGUUCCACAAUUCUAGCUCUACUCUUACCAAAACUAUCAAAAUCCAAAUCAAAAGACGAAUCUAACACUAACCCAUUUCCUUUAUCUUUAUACUUAUCACUAGUAGCAUCAAGAUUCACAUCGAACUUACCUGAUUUACUAUCAUCGUCAAGACCCUCAUCUUCUUCAUCUUCAGAAACCACUCUUAAGCCCUGUAACUCAUCAAUCUCUUCCAAGUCAACAACUUCCUCGGGCUCCAACUCUUCAAUGCCUUGGCGAACAGUGUCAUCUUCUCGCUUCUUGGGCUUUAUAAGUCCUUUUUUAACAUACUCAUCUCGUUUCAUCGCAACAGCUUUAUCAAUUUCACCAAAAAAAUCAUCUUGUUCAGAAACAUCACCCGUAUUGACCGGUGGGUCAUCCACGUCAGCAAUGGCGUUGAGGUAAGUGGACUGAUUUGCCUUGAAGUCGUCCUCUUGACGCUUUCGAGCUUUGGCGGCUUGACGGUGGAUUUGCUGGAACUUUGAGACUCCAUGGGCGGUGUCUUCUGGGGCUUCUGGCGGGUCGUCGUCGGACGGUGUCGGGUAAAACUUUCCGUCAGGGCCGAUGGCCUUUAACGUACGGAGGGAAAGGAAAUUGAAGCGCUUUGGAGGGAAAGAAAUGAAUGGUUUCGGAGGGAAAUUGUGAUGAAAUUUGAAGGUGAGGGUGGGAAUUGUGAAACUGAAACCCAUUUGGAUAUUUGAUUUUGAGUGUUUAAAACCGAGGGAGGGGUUUAAGCAUGAAGAUAGCUUACGGGUUUACGUGUUCGGUUUCCUGUUUCCACGUUCAAACCGGUGCGUCGUCUUUAAUGCGCUGGAGCUUUUAAGUUUUUUAAAUUUAUUUCCUAAAGUACAUAUAUGUAAUUAACAAAAAAUAUACAUUUAUAUAUCAAAAUUAAUUCUUAUAAAAUUUUAACUAACAAAUAUUAUUUUUAAAUUACAUACAAAUCUUAUAAUAUUAAAUUUAUCUCAUUUUUUUAUUAUAUUAUUUUUAUCUUUUAACUCUAAAUUCUUAUUUUUUUUUAAAUACAAUACUAUAAAUUAUGAAAUAAAGUCAGUAUACAAUAUUUUUUUUAAAAUAAUUUAUCUAAUUAAAUUUUCACUUAAAAUAAAAAAAAUUAAUUUAUUUCAAGUUGUUUUAAAUAAUAGUAAUAAAAAUAAGUUUUAUGAAAAAAUUUGGACCCUUUUUUUCAUUUAAAAUGAAAAGUGUUGGAUAGUAGUAUUCUUGAUGUCCACUUUAGUGCAAACUAGUUACUAAACACGGCCAAAGUACAAGAGUGAGGAUAUCAUUAAAAUACAUAUUUUAAUACAUUAAAUUUUUAUUUUUUGUUUUUUACUAUAUUAAAAUUUAUAUUUUUUGUUAGUUAGUAGCAUUUGCACCAGAUAAUGAUAUAUAUUUUAACUAAUCAUGAUAAUUUACAUGCAUAUAUGGAAGUUGUAAAAAAGUUAAGAGGAAUGCUCCAUGAGCACGACUUUCUUAACAUUGCUCCUUGACCAUUUAUUAAUCAUUAUGUGUAUACUCCAACUAUUGAAUUGUGUUCUACAUUGGCUAAUAAAGAGGAGAUACUUGAAUUUAUAAAUAAAAUAAGCCACUCUACCCGAUAGGCUAGUAUUUUAAGUUGGAUAUCUAAAAAUUCUAGACCCUGCUGUACCGUACANNNNNNNNNNNNNNNNNNNNNNNNNNNNNNNNNNNNNNNNNNNNNNNNNNNNNNNNNNNNNNNNNNNNNNNNNNNNNNNNNNNNNNNNNNNNNNNNNNNNNNNNNNNNNNNNNNNNNNNNNNNNNNNNNNNNNNNNNNNNNNNNNNNNNNNNNNNNNNNNNNNNNNNNNNNNNNNNNNNNNNNNNNNNNNNNNNNNNNNCCCCCCCCCCCCAGCAAUUGGUAUCAGAGGUAGACCUUAGUAGCCAGAAUGUGAUGAUGGAACAACUCAUGUAUGUCGGACGAAAGGACCGAGGUCCAGUGGUGGUUUUGUCCGAGGGGGGAAUUGUUGAGUUGUGUUCCACAUUAGCUAGUAAAUGAGAGAUAUUUUAGUUUAUAAGAAGAAUAAAUCACUCCACCCAAUAAAUUAGUCUUUUGAAUUGGAUACCUCGAAAUCCUAAACUAAGCCCCCCCAACACCAACCAAUCAUGAUAAUUUACACACAUAUAUGACAAGCAGUAAAUGAUUGAAUAGAAAUACCUCAAGAGCACCAAAAACCUUCUCUUAUUUAGUAUGUGUAAGUAAACAGGGAAGUAAUCGGCUGUUUUAAUCCACCUUGUUUACAUAUAUAGAAAAUUCUAUUUUCUCACAAAUUCUAUUGGGCUAAUAUGUAUUUUCUUUUAAUUUUUCUUAUUGAAUCUAGAAGUUUUAGGGUUGAUUUCUCAUAUUACAAUAAUUUUGAAUUUAUUUUGUAGUUAAUGCAAUAAAUAUUUACUAGAUUAAAUCAUAUUUAAUUAAUUAAAUUAGUAAAAUACAAUGAAUUUUUUAAUUGAUGAAAUAUACGUUCAUUGAAUUGUAAAUGAAUGGGGUUUAAUGGCUAUAGUUUUUGUUUCAAUGGGAGUUCAUGUAGUGAAAGUCUAAGAACUUCAAGAUGAACUCAUGAACAACUAAUUAUAUAUGUAACAUGAAAGAUAUAGGUCAUUUGCUUGCCACUAGUUCUGAGUAAUUUCUGAAAUUUGUAUAAUUUCAUUUAGGCAGCUACAUAGAGAUUAUUGGUUAUCAGAAUUGUGAAAAAAAAAAAAAAAAUUAGUUUGAUCAUGGAAUAGAUCACUACAGUACGAUAUUGCUUAAUUAGGUUCACGCCAUUGUUUUUGUGGUUCUGUAAUUGGAAUUCUGCAACUAUUCAAUCUGCCAUCUCAUUCACCAUAGCUUAUCAGAAUUUUUUUUUUUUUAAUUGCUUUAUACAGCAUUGAUUGGUGGAUAAAUUUGAAGUUUCCUCACUGUUCUAGUCUUGGUUAGCUGUAACCGGUGGAAUCUCUUUUAUAGUUCAAUUAUAUUGUUUGAUUUGCAUAAUCUUUCUUAGUGAUCAGGAAAUCAAAUACAAAGCAGAAGAGUCAUUUGGAAUAUUAUUUAAAAUAUCGCCGGUUUAGCUCAAUUUAAUAAGCUAUAUUAUUCUUAUUCAUGUCAGUGUUUUUAUGUUUCAAAUUUCUUUCUUUUAACUAAUUCAUUUGUUGGAUUUUAUCCAUGUAAUUAAUAAUUUUCUGCUGUGUUUAACAUCAUUAUCUGUUGGCUUAUUCCCAGUUUUCGACGGAGGUUGCCUGGUGGAGCAGAGACUGGAUUGGUAGGGCCAGGCCAAGUCCAGUCCGCGUGUCAGAAAAUCGAAAUCUCAGGCCCAGGCUAAACCCAAAUUGCUGGUAUGUUCACUAAUGAAAUGACACAUAGCAACUUUAAUUUGGCCAUCCGAGAUUGGUAGAAGUGCACUUUCAUGGCCUGCCUCCUCGUGAUUGGCCAUCUAACUAAGAAAAGAAGACGUGUUUUGCGGGGAUAAUAGAUGUACCAUACGAGAGGAGGAUUUGUGACUGGCCAAAGUAUCUGAUGAAGACUAACAAUAGGGAUCUCAUAUUUUUUAUUUUAAAUUUUAGUUUAAAUAAUGUCAUUUAUUUAUUGGUUAAUAAUUUUUUUAUAAGAUUUAAGUGAAUUAAUUAAAUUAUUCUCACUUAAAAAAUAACAUAUCAUUUAAGAUGAAAUUAAUGAUAUAUCAUUUGAAAUAAUUUUUUAAUAUAAAAAAUUUAGAACGUGUAACACUAUUCAAUUUAAUCAUAUAAUAAAAUAAUAGAUUUUGUUAUAGAACUGCCAACUGUAGAGCCUACUGUAAAAUUCAUUAAAAUUUAUAUCACAAAUAUCAGUAAAUCUCGAAACAAGAUUUACUGCUUUGUUAAAUAGUAAAACAUUUUAGUUUUCAAUCAAUUGGGCUGAUAGAAUACUCUCACACAAACUUUUUUCUGUAACCCGCAUGAUUAGUUCGGUCAUCAGGGACGUUUCUAGAAUAAAUUACAACAAAAUUAUCAGCAGAGGUCGGUUCUUAUUAUCAACAUCAUUAUCUCCAUAAUUACUAUAAAAUAUGUGCACUCGCAUUUAUUAUUUUUUUCAUGAUUGAGGAUGCCGUUGAUUUUUGAAGUGGUAUUUGGACCAUUAAUAAUCACAUGCUUCAUUCACUUGCCGUCCCACUAAUUGAUUGCAAUCAUCCUCCACCACGCGUACUUAUAACCAAUUGUAUACCCUCCACCGAAAAAAAUCAUGCAGAGGAAAUAAUUAAUAUAUAUAAUUGUGGCAGCAAUACACUAAUUUUUUUUUUUAAACCAUCUAAUUUCCGGCGAUCACAUUGGGUCUGACUAAUUUAGAUUUUGAGUGUACUUACAAUUAAAACUCAUUACCCCUCCUAAAUGGUGUGUUUAGUGAAGAUCGAAUUCAAGCAUAAAUUACUAAUACUCUUUAUAAUUAAAUUCAACCAUAAAUUACUACUAUUCUCUUAUUUCCGUCUUUCUUUCUUCAAUCAGAGAAACAUAAUUUUAUUCAAUAGUACCAAACAGUAAGAAAAAAUUAGUGUAUAUUAGUUGAAGGUGAUAAAAUCAUUCAAUAAUCGGACUUAAAAUAACUUUUAAAGUUUGAGUAGAUCAUUAUACUUCAAAGUGUACUUGUUAUGUUCCAAACCAUCAAACCACCAAAUGGGGUCUGAGUGUACUUGCGAAAGACAUUCCAACGCUGAAGUCAUAUAAUUUCAAGUAGAAUUUAUAAUUAUGCUUUUGAAUUCCUUUUUAUUUGAAAAGAAACUGGCCAAAAGUCAUUUUCUCGAUCUUUUUAGCUACUCUGAAGAGUGCAGAGUUGGCAGGAGAUACAAUUUUAGAUCUAAAUCCUCAUCGUCCUUUUUUUAUUUUUAAUUUUGGAUAGCCAAAUCUAUAACUACUUUAUUAUUUUUUAGGGGUGGGCACGAUUUAGUUCGGUUCGGUUCGAAAUUAAGUAGAACCGAUUUAAAUCGGUUAUUUUAUAAAAAAAAAACCGAAUAAAAACCGAACUCAAUAAGAACCGAACUCAAACGGUUCUUUUCGGAUCGGUUCGGUUCGGUUCGGUUUUUUCGGUUCUGGGCCUAUUGGGCUUAUUUUGAAUUUUUAAAUUUUUAGCCCAUUGGGCCUCACGAAUGUAAUAAUUUUUUUCAACAAUUAAUUUAUCCUAAUUUUAUAACAAAUAUUAACAAUAAAUACAAAGUAUUCAAAACACAUUUUAUCACUAAUAUCUUACUAACUAUUAAUAAGAUACUCCCAAAAUAUGAAAUAUUAAAAUUUCAAAAUACAUAACCAAACUCCAAUACUCCAUCUAUAUAAACAUAAUCAUAAUGUUAUAAAGAGAAAUAACACAUGUUUGAUUUGAAUAAAAUUAUUAACACAUAUUUGAUUUGAAUAAAAUUAUUAACACAUGUUUGAUUUGAAUAAAAUAAAAAAAUAAUUCGGUUUUUCGGUUCAGUUUUUCGGUUAAGCUAAGUGAAUUGAAUACCGAACCGACAUUUCGGUUUUUUUUACAAACGGUAUAUUUCGGUUUUUUUAAAAAUAAAAACCGAACCGAAUUAGAAAAAACCGUCGGUUCGGUUCGGUUUUUUUAAGACUACGGUUUUUUUGCCCACCCCUACUAUUUUUUAUCUCCUAUGGCAUGUGAUUGCAUUAAUAAUCACGUGCCAUUCAUUUGUUUAGUUUUUGUUAUCAUAUUUGUUAAGUUUAUUAAAGGUUACAUAAGUAAUCACAUUUCUUCCCUUUGAUAUUAUAAUCUUAUUCAUAUUUUUUGUGUCUUAAUUCUAUUUUUUUUUUGGAUUUAUACUUAAACCGAUUUCGAGUAUUUCUUAGGACAUGUGGCACGAUUUAAGUGGCAGUAUGUUUUAGUACUUACAUUAGUUAUUGAGAUUGAUGUAUAAUAUACAAUCUAUCACGUUUAAAAAUUUGUACAAACCACUAAAAUUGCACUAAAAAUCAGUGUUGGUGCCAAAAAUUUGAUAUAGGAAGGGCUAAGUUUUAGAAAAUCACAAUUUAAUAUAUUUUUUUUUCUUUAAGAAGGAAAGUAUCAAAAUUAUAACAUUAUAUUCAAUCAUGUGGUUUACUAGGUGGUAUGUUAUUAAUGAUACUUAGUCAUAGGUUAAGAUUUUAUAAAUGUCUCAUUAUUUAUCUUAUGAUAUAUAUUAAACCCAAUAAUUUAUUUAAAAUCUUGAAGACUUUUAAUUUUAGCUCUAACGUGAGCUUGCAAACAUAGUUAGUUGGUGAAAUUGGUCAUGGUGAUAAAUUCUUUAACAAUUGAAAGAGACAUAAGAGAAAGGAACCAUGCCUUAUUUUGAUUAGGAAAUUGACAGAUAAGAGGAAGAUAUAGAGAAAUUAUUAUGGCAUAUAAAUAAUACUUUUAUUUUAAAGAGAAGAAAAGAGUAAAAUAGGAACUAAGAAGAGAUAGCCUUUGCAUUUUAAAAAUUUGAUAAACUUUGGAAGACUUUUAAGGCGAUUAAUAAUAAAUGAAUUAUUGAAAAGAAAGGGUGGUGAUAUUUCUACCGUGAAGUUGCAUAAAUCCACCCAACUUUUAAGAACUAAUUAUAACAAAUUCACAAUAAUCUUAGUAAUUUCAAAUUAAGAAUAAAUUUGAAUAAUUAACCAAUUAAAUCAUCAUCAAUAUGAUUAUUAAGCUUAACUAAACUAACAAAAAACUAACUAAAUGUAUUUGUGACAUGAUAUCUCAUGAAAUUUAUAUGUUGUUAUGAGAUUGAUUGACAGUGAGAAUGAUCUAAUUAAUUAACUGUUUAAACUUUUUUAUUUAAAAUUUUAAAAAAUAUUGUGAAUUUCUUAUGGAUGAAUCUUUAAAAUAAAGUGAUUUUACACAAAUUAUCAGACGGAAAUAUUCUUCACUUGAACAAAAAUAUUUUUAAUCAUUUUUCUCUUUAAUCAACCCUUUCGCAGCACCAUAUGACGCCGCCCAUAUUAACAGUCAUAUAGAAAAUAGUCCAUUGAAAGAUACGCUUUACACACAACAUACAUCUCAGCUCUUUCAAAACAUCUCUCAUCACCGGAUUUGGCGAUUUCAACAAAUCUUUGGCAGUUGAGUAAAUAGCUCGACGAACCACUCAAAAUUUUACCACGAUAGUGAACAUGUAAUAACCGGUUCACAUAACCGUACGCGCGUCGAAGUUUACUAAAGAUAUUUUAGAUCCUUCAAAUCAUUGUCCUCUUAUCAGAUUCGACACCUUUUUUUACCCCCCAUUUUUUGGACAGGAUUCGACACUUUCAAGUCAACCAACAAUAAAGUAAAGUUUUCUGCGGAGUCUAAUUCACUGUUUGUAAUUUUUCAAAUCUGAACCUUGUGUGUUGUUGGUGUCUUAGACGUUACAUUAUUGCUGGCUUGCUGCUGAUGGUACCCGCGGUCCCCUCCCCUAGUUUUGUUAUUGGGCCCUAUAUGAUUAUUAAUUCAGACACAGACGGCCGAUUCAAUUUCUGACCAAAACUAGCAUUUUCUUCAUCUCUCCAUUAUUUUGUUGUUGUUACCUUAAAAAACGUAAUCUAUGAUAUGAAUAGAAAUGGUCACAAGCUCAAUAACAAUAAUCUCUCAGUCCACGAAUUUUUUAACUGGAAAACGAGUACGACAGCAAUUUUGAAAUUUUUACUCGAAUAUAAAACGACAUGGGGCAAAGGCACGGGCUUCGUUUGCGGAUAUGGAUUGACAACGAUGAUUAUUAUGCCACAUAUCUUACACGACAACAACGUUUCUACAAACACAAAUCCCAAUAUCAACCACUAAUCCCAAAUCUGUUACAGCGAGAGAGGGAAAUAUAAGAAAGACAAAAAGUUUUGCUUCGUUUGAAAGUUAUUUUUGUUCUUGGUCGUGCCCGUGCCCGUGCCCGUGCCCGUGCCCGUGCUUGUGCCCACCUAUAUAACUCAUAACUGUGUGUAUGUUACCUGCCGCCAGUGUCUAUUUAUAACUACUAUUCACAUUCACGUCAUUUUCUUUUUUAUCUGUUCUUCACCGAGUCGCACUUUCUUCUUUUCUUUUCGUUCAUGGCCACUCUUUAAUGGCAAAAUCUUAAAGUUAUUAUAUUGCAAUAGAAAGAAAAGAAAAGAAAAGAAAAGAAAAGGAAACCCAAAAAAAAAAAAAAGGAAAAGAACUGGCGACUGGUCAUAUGUUGACCAGCCGAUGGGACAAGACAAGCCCACUGUUUCGGUUUGGUUUUUGUCUUUUGGAGCUCUUCGAACCAGCAGUCUAGACCAAGCCUCAGGUUUGUUGGGUUCUUUUUACGUUAUUUUUUUAAUCUCUCUCGUAAGUUUCAUGACAGUAGCUGUUGAUAUUACUGGUGCUAUCCUUUUUUGUUUUCCUUUCUUUUUGCAGGUUAGCAGAUGCAAAGUAUGUACCGCGUUUAAUAACUUUUUUGGCAUAUAAUGGAGAAGAUAUCGCCUAAAAAUCCUGUGGUGUAUGAGAGAUACAAAUCUAGCUGUGCAUGGAGUUUAAUUCGGUUCUGUGACUUUGGCCAAGGUGACUCUAAUAACAGGAAGCUGAUUUCUCAUGGGAAAGGACUCAACUCACAAGUUUUAAGUAAGUAUUUUAUAAUCAAAGAUCGGUUUCUGCUGUUUCAUAAAUUGCUAUAUAAGAAUGGAAGCCAUUUUUAUUGAUCUAUUUGUCAAGUCUGAACUGUUUUUAGAUCCUACAGCUACGAUGUUCAACUUGGUUCUGUUUUUUCAUAUGCAGGUGGAUUGGAUUCAAGGAAUAGGCUUGAUUUGCUUUCCAACUCCAAUGUAAAAUGCCAGUGUAUUGAUGUAAGUAUCGGCAACCUACCUAUUUUUGGGUUACCAACUUAACUUAUUCCUGUUAUUGAUCCGUUCCCCCUGAUUUCUGUAAAAAAAUUUUUCCCUAAAUGUAAGUUUUACGGAGAAGCGCCAUAUAUGCCAAUUAGCAUCUCAAUUUGUUUCAGGGUGUAGUAAACAACAAGUCUCAGAUGAUUGAUUCUGCUAAGGCAGAUGUAAUGAGAAUGAGAAAAGGAGAAGGAGAGAUGGCCACUGAGUUGCAGGUCAACAAGAAGAUCACUAAUACUGAAGGGCAACAUACACCAUCUAAUAAUACACAGCCCGUUGGUCGCUUGCCGACUAACCAUAAAAGAAAGACAAGCAAGACUUUUCAGAUGCAUGGUUGUAAGGACAUAGCAACCAUGGGGCAGAGACAGCCUUAUAAUGAAAGUUCAGCAGACAGAUCUUCAAUAAAGUGUACCAAAGCGAUACCGACAGAAGCAUCCGGCACUAAGGCACAUCCUAGGAGGGAUUGUGACUGUAGAAGUGUCAGCCACCCAAAGAAUAACCGGGUUAGUGAAAUAAAUUUGCAAGUUAAGAUGAAUGAGGCAGCGGAAGCAUUCGUAAAUCAGAAGUUCACUAAAGGAAAAUUCCUCGGCAAAAACAAGGCCAGCCACCAGUCUAAACAUUUCUUGGAUGCAUUAGAGAUAUUAAAUUCCAACAAGGAAUUAUUCAUAAAUCUGCUACAAGAUCCCAAUUCUUUGUUAGUCAAACAUAUCCAAGAUUUGCGUCAUUCUCAGGGAAACAAACAGGAGAUCAACUGUAGCUUCCCAGAAGCUAAAUUGUCAGAAAAUUGUGGAACGACAGUCAGAAGUAAAGAGCAUGUCUGCAAUCAAGUAUCUUGUGACAGAUACCCAACUAAAGGAAGUUUUGAUCCACAAACUUCAGAAAGAAUUGUGGUUCUGAAGUGUGGAUCAAUAGCCAUGCAAAAUGGUGCAGCUGACACCAGUGAUUGCUCCUCUCCAGAGUCUCUUUAUAGAUUGAGGAAUGAAAUGCAGAGUGCUAAACCUGCAUAUUUUUCCUUAGGACAUAUGAAGAGGAAGUUGAGACAUGCUAUUGGGUUUAGCAGAAAAGAGAAGAAGCCCUCGACAUCAACUGAUUGUACAAGACAUGAAUCUCCUAUUGACAUUGAGGACUCGGGAGAUGGUGGUGGAGGAAAUUGUCCGGAGACUGCACAAAGCAACUCAUUGAGCAAGUGCAAUCUUGGGACUGGUCAAAUGGCAAAGUCUUUGUGUGUCAGGAAGGGAGCCAAAAUGGGCAAACUGAAGGAUUCUGCGUCAGGUACUAAAGAGCCAGUUGCUGCGAAUGGUGGAAGUGACCUUGGAAACUCAACAUCGUCCAUUGUCGGGUAUCUUAAACAAAUUGAAUCUAAUAUAUACCUUGAAUCUACGAACCAUCUCUCUGAGGUUUUAAGGAAGAGAAAUGAAGAUUUUUCAAGAAAACAGGUACUGACGAACUCCAGAAGGAUUGGUUCUCUGCCUGAAUAUGACUUCUUGGGAAGGUACCAGGACCAUGGCUUUAAUGCUGCACAGAUGAGAUUUUCUUCUUAUAGCUAUUACCAAAUGGUCAAUGAAAAGAAACAACAUCAGAAAGAGAAGAAAAAUGGGUACUUAAGUCCGGUGAGGCAGAUCAUAGAGGCUCCAUCCUUAGCAGAUUAUAAGAGAUUUACUGAUCAAUUGCAAAUCUUUGAUAGGAAGCCAAAUGACUCCGGCAAUCAUUUUCCUGAUAUCAAAAGGUACAAAAGGUUUAGUUCCCUAAGCGAUCCUUCAAGCUCUAGAGGUAAUUUUUUGUUGCUUUUCCAAUUCUCGUGGUUCUCAAACACUUUAUCUUGUCUAAGCAGCUCAGUUAAUAUUCAGGUUCUGUGUAUAAUUCUGUGAAACGUGGAGAAAUUAGUUCUUUGGGAGUUCCCUUACAAUCAAAUGAAUCACAUAAUAAUGGUGCAACUCAAGGUUCUGGUCCCACCUACACGUAUGAGGACAAUGAACUUUUGGAGUGCUCAAAAUUGGUAAACUUUGAUUCCCAGCUCUGUCAAAUUAAUUAGUAGUGCUUCUGUCCAUAUUCUUUUCUAUUACAUUUUAUUCUACUGCAACUCUGUGACAUACUUCAGUGCAUUGUUUUUUGCCACCGAUUUUGGCCUUCUUCAGGAUUUCCCUAUGGAAAGCUUAACAUCUCCAUCUUCAGAAGAUGCUUAUUUUUCAAGCCCUUUGAGCAUGAAGAAACUGGAAGAGUCUAAUGGCAUGAAAGAUAAAGCAGAGCAUGCAAGUCCAGUAUCUGUUCUGGAUCAGUUCUUCGUUGAAGAUAUCCCUAGCCCUCUAAGCACCAUAUCUCGAUCUGGUAGGCUUUCAAGUCAGCAAUCACGAGUUAUUUGUUUUUGUUCUUCCAAAAUGUUGCUGACUUUACCAACUUGAACUUCUGCAGCAGAGCCAGUAGUCGAGCCAAAACAAGAUUAUUGUGAAGAAAACUCUUGCACUGCUCCUGUGACAUCUCCUGCAGAUCUGAAGAUCAAUUCAAGCAAUACCAUGAAUGAGCAUGAAUCCUUGUCCCAAUAUGUAACAGCAGUGUUGCAAGCUUCCGGUACAAAAUGGGAAGAACUUUCAAUGAAAUGUCAUUCGUCAGACCAACUUCUUGAACCAUCCUUAAUUGAUGAGGUGGAGUUAUUGCCUAACCUCCUCACUGUUGAUAAGAAGCUCCUCUUUGAUUAUAUCAAUGAAGUCCUUCUAGAGGUAUAUCAAAGUCACUUCAGUUGCUGCCCCCGGCUAUCAUUUCUUAUACCACAGAUCCGACCAGUUCAAGCUGGAACAAAUGUGGUUAACGAGGUGAUGAAAUGUGUCGACUUAGACAUCCUGUUCCAUCGACAGUUUCAAACUUUGGAGGAACUUGUUGAAAAGGACUUGGGAAAAUCCAGAACAACAUGGAUGGACAUUCGAAUUGAUACUGAAGUUGCUGUUACUGAAUUGGUUGAAAGUGUUUUAGAAGAACUGGAAUUGGAAAUUUCAAUCGAUCUGCAUACUUGAAGCCUUGAAUUUUGCUUUGCAUGCUUUCUCAUCAAACAAUGUUUGUUAUGGGAUGCAAACUUGCAACUGGAUGAAUCAAGAAAGAUUAUAGAAUUCUUUUUGAUGAGCUGAUCGGGGACUCAUUGAAUCAAAAUUCAUGGCCAUCAAGUUUCUUGUUUACUACUGUUACUGUAUAGUUUACAAUAAAUGUCGAGAAAUCACAGGUAUUAUUUGUUGUUUUCAAAAUUCCCCCGAUGGAUGUUGUAUGAAAUUUUCAACACAAAAUAAGUUUUAUACAAGAAACAUAGCAUUCUCCGGAUCCCUGAGUAAUACUGACUUAGGAAGAAUAACAUAAACGAUCCAUUUCAGGGAAGUUCACUAGCGUAGGGACGUAUUUAAUACAUAUUGAAAAAUUAUAUCUUAAGUAAAAAAAAAUGUUAACAACAUGGGAUCUAUAUGUUAUAUUUUUGUAUUUUUUUUUUCAAUUUUAAAAGGAUUAAUCGUUAAAGAGUGGGAUAUUUUCACCCCUAAGUUUUUUUUUGUGACGUGUAGUAUUUUUUGAGUCACAAUUUUACCUUUAAGAAUUAACAACAGCGUCGAAAUCUAAGAAUAAAAAGAAAAAAAAAUAUUUUGGGUUUCUAAUUAAUCACCAUUAAUCUAUUACAACAUUCCCUAUGAAUUUAUAAACCCAAAAAAUUUAAACAUUAACUUUAAGAAUUACUAAAUCCUACAUAUUAAUUAAAAAUAAUGGUAACCCGUCACACAAAAACAUUUUUUUUAUUCUAUAAACAAGAUUAAUUCUACCAGUUUUCAUAAUAAUAGUUAAAUGAACAUUUUUAAUAACAAAAUUUGCGAAGAAUAUCUCUGCAAUAAGAUGAGAUAAAGGGUCAGUUUGGUGUUGCAGAAGCUAAUGAAAUAAGUUGCUUGUGCUAUGUAGAUGAAAUAAACUGCUUGUGCUGUGCAGAUGAAAUAAGCUGCUGAUUAAAAAAGUAGCUUAGUAUUUGGUAAACUGUACUGUUGCGGUUGGUGUGAGUUUGAAAAGUAAAAUACAUGUGUUUGGUAAAUCUUAUUAUGAAAGUGUUGUUGUAUAAUAUAAUGACCAAAAUAGACAUACGUUAUAAUUGCUUUUUAUUUGAUGUUUAAUAAAUUGUUUAGACAUUUUUUUAAAUAUGUAAAAUUACAUUAAUAAAACUCAAUUAAGAAAAAUUUAAAGAACUUCAUAAUCUGUUACAUAACAUAUGAUAAAAAAUUAUACUUUUACAUAAUUUAAAUAAAAUAAAAAGUAACAUGUAUUAUAUUCACAAUAAUUUUUUUGCAAUAAAAUUCCUCAAAUUUUCCAUUUCUUAGGAUUCAGAGCCAUUAAUAUUGUGAUACUAAAUUGUGGCGGUAAUAUCUAAUGAUUUAUAUAUUAGGGUUUAUGGAUAAAUAAGAUAUAAUUGUCUUUUUAUUAAAGUACUAGGGUUAUAAUAAGCAUUUUAAAAAGUUAUACUAGCUUAUUGAAUAAGUUGCUUAUGAAAAACAACACCGUACUUGCUUUUAAAAACUGCUUACGAAAUGUAAAAAAUUAUGAAAUGAGCUACUUUUACAAAAUUUACCAAAUAUUAUUUUUAUCAAAAAUUAUGAAAUAAGCAGCUUAUUGAGUUUUAACUUCAAUCUCAAAUGGGGCCAAAUGAUAGUUUAGUUGUUUAUAUAAGAAGUAAUACAUUUAAUAAUAUUAAUAAUGAGUCUAUUGCAUAAUAUUUUUAAAAUAUGAAAAUACAUCGAGUACAUUUAUAAAUGUAUUAGUAAAUAUUUUUAUAUAUUCAAAAUUUUAGUUUCUAAAUUUUGCUAUUAUCUAAUUUAAUCCCUAAUAAAUUAUUUUUUUAAAUCCGCCACUACUUAAGAACGCAGUAAUUAAUUUGCACUUAAUAUAUUGAUCUUCAACAAAAAAUAUUUGUUGAUAUUUAUUUUUGAAUGACGGGUUUUUAUACUAAUUAUUUGUAAGAAAAAGAAUAUAUGUGAAUGAAUUUAUGUGUAUUUAUAAAAUUAAGAAAAGAAAGAAAAGAAAAGGUUAAUUAAUGAUUUGUUAAAAUUAAAUAAAUAAUAAAAAUUUUAAUUAAAAAAAAAGAAUGUAGAGAAAAAAUUUAUGAGAUAUUUUUAAUAGGGUGCACGUAUUUGAUGGGGGUUGCCAUACAACAGAUGGGUUGAAAAUAAAAUGGUAUUUUAAAAUCUGAUUACGAGUUAAAAAUCAUAUUUCCAUCCUUUUCAAUAAUAUAAUUUAUCCGCCCCCACUUCCCGCCAAACUUAACAAUAAAAACCCUAAUUUUCUCUCAUUCCUUAAACCCUGCCAAGCCAAGCCAAGCCACCCACCAAAAAUCCCAAAACCCCUAACCCUACCACUAACCAGACCACCUGCACCAGCAACAAAUGGAGAAUAAACCAGAACUCGUCCUUAUCCUCGACUACGGUUCUCAAUACACCCACCUAAUAACCAGACGAAUCCGUUCGCUCUCCAUCUUGUCUCUUUGCCUCUCCGGCACUUGCUCUCUCGAAGACAUUACUGCCAAGAAUCCCCGCGUCGUUAUCCUUUCCGGCGGCCCCCACUCCGUCCACUCCCCCGAUGCCCCUGCUUUUCCCGCUGGCUUCCUCGAGUGGGCCCUGUCUAACAGCGUUUAUGUUUUGGGAAUUUGUUAUGGGCUCCAGUUGAUGGUUCAGAAGCUUGGUGGUGUAGUUAAGGUUGGGGAGAAGCAGGAGUACGGGAGAAUGGAGAUACUGGUGGAAGGUAGUUCGGGGAUUUUUGGGAAUAAGAAGGUGGGUCAUCAUCAGGUCGUUUGGAUGAGUCACGGAGAUGAGGCUGUUGUGUUGCCCGAUGGAUUUGAAGUCGUGGCGAGGAGUCAGCAGGGAGCUGUGGCUGCUGUUGAGAAUAGAGAAAAGAGGCUUUUUGGGCUUCAGUAUCAUCCUGAGGUAGAUGGAAUUCGAAUUUUCUAAAAUUGUUUUUUUUCCUCUUUUUUUGGCGCUGCCCCCCGCGGCGCCGGGGGGNNNNNNNNNNNNNNNNNNNNNNNNNNNNNNNNNNNNNNNNNNNNNNNNNNNNNNNNNNNNNNNNNNNNNNNNNNNNNNNNNNNNNNNNNNNNNNNNNNNNNNNNNNNNNNNNNNNNNNNNNNNNNNNNNNNNNNNNNNNNNNNNNNNNNNNNNNNNNNNNNNNNNNNNNNNNNNNNNNNNNNNNNNNNNNNNNNNNNNNNNNNNNNNNNNNNNNNNNNNNNNNNNNNNNNNNNNNNNNNNNNNNNNNNNNNNNNNNNNNNNNNNNNNNNNNNNNNNNNNNNNNNNNNNNNNNNNNNNNNNNNNNNNNNNNNNNNNNNNNNNNNNNNNNNNNNNNNNNNNNNNNNNNNNNNNNNNNNNNNNNNNNNNNNNNNNNNNNNNNNNNNNNNNNNNNNNNNNNNNNNNNNNNNNNNNNNNNNNNNNNNNNNNNNNNNNNNNNNNNNNNNNNNNNNNNNNNNNNNNNNNNNNNNNNNNNNNNNNNNNNNNNNNNNNNNNNNNNNNNNNNNNNNNNNNNNNNNNNNNNNNNNNGGGGGGGGGGGGGGGGGGGGGAGGGUUUAUAUAUGAGUUGCGUUGGAGCUAUUUGUCUUGAUGUAAGGAUGUGUGGAUGUGUUGUAGGAUCUAUGGAGGUUUUGAUGCUUAUUGUCCUAGAAUUUUACAUAGACCUAUUUGAAAUGGUUUGAUAUAUCAGUUGUUGACUGGAUGCUACUAGGGGUGGAGCCCUGUUCAGACUAGAGGGUGCCACGGCACAAUCAACAAAUUCCUAAAUAAAAUAUUUUUAUGAUAAUAUCAUUAUUUUUAAGUGUAAAAUCUUCAUUUGGCCCCUGCAGGGACUCACAUUCUCUCACAAUUUUUAAACUUUAGAGAAAAAUGUAAGUUAUAUGAUCCCACAAACAUUAAUUCUGAUAAAAACUUGUACCUUUACUAUUAUUAAUUUAUUGUUAACAAAUUCUUUUAUCUUUCUUUUGCUAGAAAUGGGUGAGCCUACUUUUUUGUUGAUGUUUUAUGGACUUUGUGUUAUUUAAAUUUGUAUUACCUUUUUUUAAUAGGAAAAGAACUUUUAUACUAUGAAAAUAAAACUUUUGCAUAUUACUGCCUAUUCAAUUGAAAAAACCGUAUUAUUAGUUUUGAAAUGUUUUAAUUCGGUCUGAACUCUGAGCUCCACCCCUGGAUGUUGUGGUUUUGCCGUCGUUAGUGAUUUAGUGUGGAACUAUUGGAAGUUUAUGAUGGUAUGCGAACUUCCAAUUUUAUUUGCUGAUUAUUGAAUGUUCUGCAGGUGACACACUCACCUGAAGGGAUGGAAACUCUUCGGUAUUUUCUAUUUGAUGUUUGUGGAGUUAAUGCAGGCUGGAAAUUGGAAAAUGUAUUGGAUGAAGAAGUUAAAUGCAUCAAGGAUACUGUGGGGCUUGAAGAUCAUGUCAUCUGUGCAUUAUCAGGGGGUGUAGAUUCGACUGUUGCUGCAACUCUUGUUCAUAAGGCAAUUGGGGAUCGGCUUCACUGUGUUUUUGUUGACAAUGGUUUAUUAAGGUAAGAGAAUGUGAAUGUUUUUCUGAAACAACUAAGAUUAGAUUUCAUGGAAAGACUUUAUAUUGGUUCUACACUUUCAUUUAUCUUUUGGUUUCUCUCUGUAAAUUUUCAAUCAUAAUUUUGUUUUACAUAGGUACAAAGAGAGGGAACGUGUUAUGGAUACCUUUGAAAAGGAUCUACAUUUACCAGUUACUUGUGUUGAUGCAACUGAUCAGUUCCUUAGUAAGCUGAAAGGUGUGAUAGAUCCUGAAACGAAGAGGAAAAUAAUUGGAAAGGAAUUCAUCUGCAUCUUUGAUGCUUUUGCCCAUGAUUUGGAGCAGAAAUUAGGAAAGAAGCCUGCUUACUUGGUCCAAGGAACCUUGUAUCCAGAUGUGAUUGAAUCAUGCCCACCACCUGGAACGGGAAGAACCCACUCCCACACGAUCAAAAGCCAUCAUAAUGUUGGGGGGCUUCCUAAAGACAUGAAGUUGAAGCUCAUUGAACCUCUUAAACUUCUAUUUAAGGACGAGGUUUGGUUUUCAAUUUUACCGUAUCAUGCGUUCAUACUAAUAAAGAUGAUUUCCAUUCUUGUUUAUAUUUGAUUCUAUUUUGGCCAUUUUCUUUCUCUAUUUAUGAAGGUCCGUCAACUUGGCCGGAUAUUGAAUGUUCCCGAGCAAUUUCUAAAGCGUCAUCCAUUCCCUGGCCCUGGCCUUGCAGUGCGAGUCCUUGGUGAUGUAACUGAAGGCAAUUCCUUGGAUAUCCUUCGACAGGUAUGUGUAGUUUAUGCUUUGAGCGAUAACCCUAUGUCGUUGUUUACCCUUUUAAACCUCAGUUUUUUGACCUCUUCUUUUCAGGUUGAUGAAAUUUUUAUUCAAUCUAUCAAGGAGGCAGGUCUUUAUGAUUUGAUUUGGCAAGCUUUUGCAGUGUUUUUGCCUGUAAGAUCAGUUGGAGUUCAAGGCGAUCAAAGAACUCAUUCUCAUGUUGUUGCUCUCAGAGCUGUUACAAGCCAAGAUGGAAUGACAGCAGAUUGGUAAGCCCCCAAUUUUUUCACUUUUGAUGGUUUCUGUAGAGUUGUGUAUAUGCAUAAGCUAGCAAACGACCAUAUGAGCAUUUGAUGGCAUGUAAACUAAGGUCUAUAUUCAUGUUCCAUCGGAAGUUUAUUUCGAUGAACCUUGCCUCUCGAAUCCCUUGUCUUUACUGCUAAUUGUUUUUUUAUUCUUUUUUUCAAAAGGCUGCUAAUUUAACAGUUCAUAAUUUUGCAAAUUUAUUGUCAUGUUUGUUUUCUAGAGCCGCUAAUUAUUUCUAUGGAGUGUUGGAAAUUACUAUUUCGCUGUAUUCUCUGUGAAAUAGUGUAGGCUUUUUGGCUUUGAUUUUUGGGGUAGAAUAAAAUUUCUUGCAUGCAACUUGCUUAUAUUUUCUCUUUGGAUCUGUGGAAAUUACAGGUACUAUUUUGAACACAAAUUCCUUGAUGAUGUAGCCAGAAAAAUCUGUAAUACCGUUCGAGGUGUAAACCGAGUUGUUCAAGACAUCACAUCAAAGCCUCCAUCUACAAUUGAGUGGGAAUGAUGCUCUGUUGAAUGCCUUGUGGCUUAUGAAAAGUACAAGACUCUCUAGACGUUUAGAGUUAAGCUUAUGCAUCAAUUAUUACCUUUCCUCUGCUUCUAAUCAAGCGGGGUCAUGAGAUGAAAGUUGAAUUACACAAAAGCUCAUAGUGUUUUAUGUCUGUGCCCUUAUCCAUAUUACAUAAUUCUCAUAAGGUAAUAUAUUUUGGAGGGUCGAUGGCUUAACAUUUGUGCGGAGACUUCGUACUGACUUGUUACUACACUAUAUUUUUUACCAUAUUGGUUCUUAUGAGCUUUUAUGCUUUUGCUAUAUUUAUCAGAAAUUAUAUGUUUCUGUUUUUCUCAAGCUAUAUGAGAAGUGUGUAUUUGUUGCUGAUGUGAAGGUGUGACUUGAGCAUAAAAAAUUUGUUAGCAAGAACUGUGAAAUGCUGAAUUCAUGCUUUAGAAACCUAUUUCCUAUCUUUGCUUGUAUAUACAUUUUCACAAUUAAGCUUCAAUGUUAUUAUGUUAUUACCAUUGUCAGUCCAUUUUAUUUGUUUGAUGGUGGCACUUGCUGCUCAUAGUCUGUGGUCUCCACCAUAAUUGUGAUUAUGGUGUAAAAUAAUUAUCACUUAUCUUUAAAAAGCAUUGAUUGAGAUGGCCACAAUGAUCUGUCUCACCACCUCUUUAUACCUGCCCAAUCAUAGUUAUAAUGGUGGGAUUCAGAUUAUCAUCGUCUAUAGAAAACCCUCAAUUAGUGUUCUUCAUUUCUGAUUAUGGUAAAAUGUAUCAGAAUUUUUUUUCAACAGUUGGAAUAUAAGUCUAUCUUAUAAAUUCUGACAGUUGACCCCUUUCUACAUGGAACAUGCUUUUUAUGUCAACAUUUGAAUCCAGCUGAGCAAACCAUUGUAUUUUUCAGUAUAGUAAUGCCAGAACUGCAGAUUUCCGUUCGGCUACCUGUGUUGGAUUUAUCCCAACCGGUGUCUCCCUCCUUUCUAUCUUCCCUUUCUGAAGCCUGUCGAGAAUCGGGCUUUUUUUAUGUAACUAACCAUGGUAUCUCCCAGGAUAUGUUUAAGAAAGUCUGUUCAUUCUCCAAACGUAUAUUUAGCAGUUCCACAGAUACCAAGCUCAAGCUUGGACCAUCAUCAUGCAUCAAAACCUACACUCCUCAUUUUAUAGCUUCCCCUUAUUUUGAAAGCCUGCGGGUUUCUGGUCCAGAUUACUUUGCUGCCGCAAAGGCUUCUGCAUGUGUGCUUUUUGGCCAGCAGAGUUCUGACUUCAGGUAACAUUUUCUUUAACAUCCCACUGUCUUGGCACUACAGUUUUGUUAAUCAUUUAUCUGCAUUAUGUUAAUGUUAUCUUGCUUUUCAAUUUUGUAGUGAGUUAUUGCAAGAGUAUGGGAUCAAGAUGGUGGAGUUAUCUCAGAGAAUCUCGAAGAUUAUAUUAAUGAGUUUGGGAGAUGAUUAUGAAAGGAAAUUUUAUGAAUCUGAAUUUGGUAAGUGUCAUGGGUAUUUGAGGAUCAUAAAUUAUACACCACCAGAGACUGUCAAAGAAGAUAAAGAGGUUGAAGGGCUUGGAAUGCACACUGAUAUGAGUUGUCUAACGCUAGUCUAUCAGGAUGAGAUUGGUGGACUCCAGAUGAGAUCCAAGGAGGGGGAGUGGAUUGACAUAUUCCCAUGUGAGAAUUCACUAGUAGUUAAUGUUGGAGAUCUUAUGCAAGCUUGGAGCAAUGGGAGGUUAAGGUCAUCUGAGCAUCGGGUUGUUUUGAAACGGUUCAUAAACCGUCUCUCACUGGCUUUCUUUUGGGGUUUUGAGGAUGAGAAGGUGAUUCGAGCACCGGAUGAAGUUGUGGGAGAAGGAUGCUCAAGGAUUUACAAGCCCUUCGUUUGCUUGGACUAUUUGAAGUUUAGAGAAAAUAAUGAGGAAGGUAAAUUCGAGAGAAUUGCGCAUACUGUCAACGAUUUUGCAGGGAUAAAACAGAAGGGAGGUAUGGCAUCAGUUCUGGAGUUUUAGCUGGGUAAAAAUGUACAAUAUCCGGUUAAUUAAAUUUUAUCCAAAUGUGAAUGUGUAUUUUCUGUAUCGCCUGAUCGGCUAUCUGAUGGUGACAAAUCUUCUCUAAAGUCGUACUCUGUUGUUGGUGUAAGUGUGAGUUUGUUGUUAUUAUUGAAUCCAAUGACAUUUUUGUUUUCUUGCCUUUACUUAAUUGCUUUUGAGAAAUGGGGCUUUGAAGACCCGACAGACAAUUCCAAAAGUUACAUUUUAAUUUAACUCAAAUGAGUAACAACAGCAUGAUCUGUAAACUUAACAGUUAACAAGACCCAAAUAGAUAAUGUCUUAUUCCAUUUCGGCGGCCAAUUCAGUAGCAUCUGCAGUAUCAGGAUUGAAGCAAAUUCUUCAUCAGUGCUUAUUACGAUCUAAAGGGGCUCGUGGUUUUCUCUUCGGUCAUCUUUUUCUGUGGUCAAUAUAGUUAUUUGAAUCUAGCGGACGUAUAAAUAACCCAUUGGAAGAAUCCUUUUACUGUUUUUUGCAUCUAAUACUAAAUGAUUGUUUAAUUUUUAUUAUUAUUUUGGUUUAAUUAACUAUUUAAUCUUUACAUUUUGAAAAAUAUCUCAAAACUCCCUCGUUUUAAAUAUGUUAUUACUCUCUGGUCCUUUCUUUUUAUUCACUUUUAUAAUAAUACAAUUGCUACUAUAUUUUUUUACACUAAUUAAUCUGCUUGUUGAAAAAAUUAUUUAUUUAUUAUGAAUUAAUCAAUAAAUAUCAAUAUAAAGAAUUAGUAUUUUUCACGUCUUUACAAUAAUCUUGCUAAUUAUUACUUAUAAAUAAAUUAAUAUUGGUGAACUUUAAACAAUGUUUAAUACCCUUACAACAAUCUUACUAAUUAAUUAUUUACAAAUAAAUUAGUUCACAAAGUUAAUUCUUAAAAAAUAAAAAAAUAUUACACUAAUUUUAUUUUACUUUUAAGAUAGAUUUAAUAAAUUAACAUUUUUUUCUUUUUAUUAAUAUUCCAAGAGUAUUAUUGUAAGGACAUUAUUAUAAAAGUAAAAAAAAAAAAGAGUAUAAUAUAAUUAAUCAUAAUAAGACUUAUUGACUUUAAUAUUAAAGAAGCUGGUGGGUUUUAGAACAAUAGGACUGUUCCAUCGCAAUACAAAAUUUUCUCUCCUACUGGUUCACAACAAAUAUUAUUUCCGCCAUUAUUUACGACGAGAUUACGAAAGGCCGCUGCAAAUUCUAGAGCCAUCUUUCAAAUGACAAGCUCAGAUAGAACCCAUUGUCAUAAAAGAAUCGGAUAAAAAGUUUGCAUGAUAAGACAUAAUAAAAGCAUUCAAAGUUUUCCAGGAUCAAAACUCUUCCUGGGUUUCACUAUUAAUUGCUGGCCAAUGAUUAUUAACUUUUGAGGACACCUUUUGCUUGUUGCUGUCACUUUUCAACGAAGACAUGUUGAUUGCCCAUUGCCACUGGGAAAAAAAUCACUUUCUUGAUAUGGAUUGGUAGGUUCAUUAUUAAGAAACCCAUUAAUUGCAAAUCUUCAUACAGAUUCGUUUAUGAAGGAUUAAUUCAAAGGGUCCCUCGGUGUGUUUCGCAUGAUUACUCAAAGUUGAUUGCGAUCCCAUCAAGGGUUUGGCGUAAGAUAGGUGCUUUUCAUUCGAAGAAAGUUACAUUAUCAUUUAUCAGAAUAAGUUUAUUUCCCCGAACUAUAUUACUCUCUCGCACUCUUUUGAAUUUGAUUUUGCAAAAUGCUCUCAACUACGCUACACUUUCUUUCUUGGGACAAAAUAUAUAGGGGAUCAAACAAUUUCUGUGUAUAAACCAAGAUUCAACACUUCCAAGCAACUCUUUGUAGUGAUUGUUUGAUUAUCCCAGCUGAUGCGGCAUUUGAUCCUCUGUACUGAAUAAAAUAAAACAUGCAUGGUUAAGAAUAAUUAUGUUAGUUAUAAAGGAAAAAGAUAUUCUCAAUAUUUGCUUGCAAUUUCACGUACGUACCUCACUUUUGAUAGUAAGAGAUAGAAUGCCUCGAUUGGUGGAUGAUUGAACCGUGUGGGAAUAUAAAUGAAGGUUGCUUAUUGCAUCCAUAAUCUCGAGCAACAUUCCUUCCCUCCAUGGGCACUUGAUCUCAAUUUGAACAUCCUUUUCAUUUAUGCUCACAUUUAUAUUAUCUGCUGUCGCAAAACGUUCAAACUCUGGCUCCGACUCAUAGAUGUCACGAGAUUUUCUCUUCUUUGCUCUACUAGUUUUGCUGUUGUCAUAAUUAGCCUCUAACUUUGCUCUGCAAGACUCCAAUUCUUUGACUUUUCUCUCAAGCUCUUGUACGUAUUCUAUUGUGUCAUCUAGUAUAGAUACUUUGUCAAACUGCAAACGAGUUAAAAAUUUUAACCAAGUGAUGAAUGUUUAGUGAUCAAUAAUUGUAAGGAAUUGAGUUUUAAUUAGCUACCUUGCUGACUGAAGGUACCAUGGAUUUGAGAAUAACAAAUCUUUCAUUUAGCUUUCCCCUUUGCCUCCUCUCCGAUUUUACAUGGUUAGUAGCAGUUUCCUCAGCCUCUAGUCUCGAAACAUCAUCUUUAAUGUGAUUAUCUUCCGACGACUCAAGCAAUCUGUAAUUAAUUAUCCGAGGAACUUCAAAUAAGAUCUUCUUCAAUAACUUUUGUGAAACUCCGUCUCUUUGUUUCUUGCAACUCACCAAUCCACCUUUCUUCCAACUAGCAAAGCUGGAUUCUUGGCUGUGGUUUUGAAAAUGUGGCCGCGAAACUAGCUGAUGGGAGGUUUUUAGAAGAGAUGAAAGAACACUUUGAUAGUGCAAAUCAUGGCCUUGGGGAUCCAGUGAGGUAAGCUCUGUGGGGUUACAUUCUUCAACUUCUUGCAGACAAUGGCCAAUUUUUUUAUCGUCUUUUGAAGCAGAGACACAUUUCGCAGCAUCUACAAGUGUUUGGGAAAUGCUGUCACUAGAAUUCACGGAAUGAACACAGUUACUGAACUCAUCAUCCAUGAAUUGCCAGCUUUGUACUUGAGAAGCCACCCCAUUUAUGCCUUCAACCAUAAAUGAAUCAUCUGCUGGUUGAUUGUGCUUGAUGCCACUAGAACCGUUGUUAUCCGGAGAAGCCAUUUCUAACACUUCAUAUCCCACAACUGGAACCAUUGUAGUGUCAAGAUUCUGUGAACAAAGUGCUGCACAAGCGAGAUCUUUGUCAUCUCUCAUGUUUCCAGCACCGCUACUGGAAUUACCGGAAAUCAUUGGACAUGGAAUCUCCAUGAAUGAAGUCUUAAUGUGCUGAAUAAAACCAGGUUCCUCCAACACCUUAAGAAAACAAGUCAUGAAAUAUCAAUAACUUGAAUUGGCACUGUAACGUGCAAAGCAAAAUCCUGAGAGAUUGUAGUCAAACGGGGAUCUGAUAGAAAAGUUACCAGCUCAGUUACCCCCAACUCAACCACACCAUGCAAAUGUGGAAAGCAUACUACUGUCUGAAAAAAUAAAUAAAUAAAUAAGUAAAGAGGAAUUAUGACUGCUCUUAUUUGCACCAAAACAUUUAUUUUAUAUUAGAUUUACUUGUACCAAAACAUAUAUUUUAUAUUAGAUUUACUUUGUUUCCAUUUCUCAUUUGUGCAAGAUUCUUGACUCUAGAAAUGGAAACUCAAUAAGAUGCUAGUAAAUGCGUCAUUGAAAAAGAUAUAGAGGGAAAGAGAAACUGCACCUGAAUAGAUGCACUCUGAGAGAUGCAGUACCGGUUUAUGAAACAAAGACCAAACACAGAAAAAAAAUAUUUAGAUUCUUCUUCCAAUAUGAAUAUCUUAGCCAAUUGGUAUCAUUUUAGGCUGAAAAUUUAAUUCUCAGCAUCCUACCUUUGCCAGCAGAGAACGACUGAACACUUUGCUGUCUGCAUACUGAGCAUUGCACAACCAUAUAGGCUGAUUAUUUGCAAGUGCCCUUCCUGGCAACCUAAGAGCAACGCAAGCGAAAAUUUAAUACAACAGGGAUUAUUGUGUAUGCAAUUUCGAAGGGUUGAGUACAAAGAUGUGAUGGUCAAAAUUACCCUUCACCGAUGUUGAAGACAAAUGACAUGCAAACCAAGUAAUACCACUCGGUAUCAGUAAGAUCUUCAGGGGACAAUGCCGCUGAUGGUCUUUUGCUGGCAGCUUGCGGAUUACUCUCACCAGCCGAAAGAGAUUCGUAUAAUUCUCUCAAUUGCUCACUCCUUUGCAAACCCAAUUGGUUGGAACUGAGCUCUACUGAUUGAAUUGUUUUCCUUGUCUUAAUAUCUCCAUUGUAGUAGCCAUCACCCCAUUCCAAGACCCUAAAAUAUCAUUCACAAUCGAAAGAAGAGUAAAAAAGAAGUAAAAAAGUAAGAUGAAAACAAAAACAAAAACAAAAAAUCAACUUUUGAGCUUUCUAGUCCAGCAGGCCAACAUGUCCCUAAAUCUGGAACUAGAUUGUCCCCAUUUGUCUACGUCAAUUUUGAAUCUUAAGCAGACCCAAUUGAUAAAAAAGAACAAAAGCCAGAGCUGAAAAUCAUUUUCACAUAUAUUAAAACAAAAUAACUUGAGUGUUUGUUCAUUUUAUAUCCUUGCUCGAAGGAAAAAUGUAUAUAUUUGAGAAGAAACAAAAGGGAAGCAGAACAGGGAUAAGCCAGAACUGAAAGAAGAAGGAACUUUGAGUACCCAGGUUGUGUAUCUGAAAUGGUCCAGAAAAUUGCAUAGCUCCACUGAAUGCUCCUCACAGCAAGAGCGAGCUGUUUCUUCAGGCUCUCUGGCACUCUCUUCUGAUUUUGAAUCUUAGUAGUAUCCAUUUGAUGAAAUGCAAAAAGAGAGCUUAAUCUAAAAAGUAAGGUACUGAAAAACCAAUCACACACUAACAAAUCUUGCUCAAUUCUUGAUUCCUCAUUUUCAACAGACUAAAACAUCUAACCUUUAUGGGCUUUUGGCAAAACUGUUCUGUUUCGAAAAUAAAAAGCAAAAGCAGCCCGGACUCAGACUCAGACUCUACAGAAGUAGCUGCGUGUAAAGCUGGUAUCAUUAAUCUUUAUCAGACAGAUGUACAGGACGUGAGUUAAAAGGUCCAUUACUGUAAUGGAAUGGACCAGUAGCAAUUAAUUCCUUGUUGUAAUUUAUACAUUCUCAGGUCACUCACUUUGAUGAACGAAAAAUAAUAAUAAUAAUGGUAAUAGUAUCUUAGCAUCAAUCUAAAAAAAUGGCACUAAAUAACCCAAUAAAAGAGUAGGAAGCAAAGCACGCACACAAGAAGAUAACUUAUUGGUUCUUUUUAGUUGAAGAGGGUAAUAAAGAUCUGAACUUUACUGACCCAGCAAACAGAAACACUUGGUCCUACAAGCUGAUCACACAAACACCGCCACUAUCUCCAGUCUAAAGACUAAAGUAGUUGCAAUAAUUUUUCACUCACAGAACCAAACCGCCAAAACCAUUAGCUCAAUCAACAAAAAAAGGAAAAAUGAAAGACAAGUACAAUUGAAAACAAUGAAGUUUGUUUCAAGUGAAAUAUGAUUUCAUGUAUAUGCUCUGCAAGUGCUUUGCUUCGAUUUGUGUUCAUGGCUUUUGGAGAUAUCAAGAUACAUAAAGCAUGCAUGUAUAUGAAUUGAAGAGUUGCGUGAGAAAGGAUAAUAGCCUAAUAGGAAAUGAAAGAUAAGACAAAGAAAGAAGAUAGAAACGUGGAACUGGUGCAAAAAUUACAAUAAACAGUGGGUCACAUGAACAUUUAAGCAGUUUCAAAUCGAAGGAGGGAUUAGGUGAGAAAUAAUAACGAACAAAAAAACCAAGUCAUUUAUUACAAUGAAUACUGCUUCUUCAAGUCUCUCUUGUUUCUGCUUGAGCAUUCUCUAAUUACGCUGAAAAUAGAAUUCUCCAGUUUAUUAUUCCUGUAAAUUCUGAUUAAAACUUUGAGUUAAAUGGGUUGUUUAUUGAAUACAUUUUUUUAUUUUUACCAUGUUAUAUACUUAAUAUGGUGGUAAAAGUGUCAGUUGAUAUUGAUGAUCAAUGUUAAAAGCAUUUUUUUAAUUUAUUUUAGAAAAAGUGUCAAAAUAUUAGCAAGCCAACAAAAGCAGAGGGACGGACCCUGAAACAAUGCAAUUCCUUUCACAACCCAAAAAUAACUUAAAAAUCCAGACUUGCAUGAUAGAAUUCAGUAAAUUACUGUCGCUAGCUCUUCUAAUUAAGAGAAUUGCUAUUACAUGAAACAUUAAUUCAUUGGAGAAUUUGCAGAAUGCUUAUAUAUAUAUAUAUAUAUAUAUAUGUGUGUGUGUGUGUUUUUAUGCGUGUGAAAAUGGAAAUAAAAAUAAAUGGGAAUGGUGCUGGCAAGAAGCCCAUCGUGUUCCCCCACCCCCACUCUAUUGGAACUAAUUUGGAAACUGAAAUAGACAUAACCAUUGCCAUAAGCCAUAGCCUUUUCAGAAGCUAUUGCUAUACUCCCUAUGAAAUUAAAUGGAGUUUUCCGAAAUCGAGUGUGCCUAUUUUCAUCCAAGACAUCUCGUUUGAAUAAAAUAAGAAUAUGAUUAACACNNNNNNNNNNNNNNNNNNNNNNNNNNNNNNNNNNNNNNNNNNNNNNNNNNNNNNNNNNNNNNNNNNNNNNNNNNNNNNNNNNNNNNNNNNNNNNNNNNNNNNNNNNNNNNNNNNNNNNNNNNNNNNNNNNNNNNNNNNNNNNNNNNNNNNNNNNNNNNNNNNNNNNNNNNNNNNNNNNNNNNNNNNNNNNNNNNNNNNNNNNNNNNNNNNNNNNNNNNNNNNNNNNNNNNNNNNNNNNNNNNNNNNNNNNNNNNNNNNNNNNNNNNNNNNNNNNNNNNNNNNNNNNNNNNNNNNNNNNNNNNNNNNNNNNNNNNNNNNNNNNNNNNNNNNNNNNNNNNNNNNNNNNNNNNNNNNNNNNNNNNNNNNNNNNNNNNNNNNNNNNNNNNNNNNNNNNNNNNNNNNNNNNNNNNNNNNNNNNNNNNNNNNNNNNNNNNNNNNNNNNNNNNNNNNNNNNNNNNNNNNNNNNNNNNNNNNNNNNNNNNNNNNNNNNNNNNNNNNNNNNNNNNNNNNNNNNNNNNNNNNNNNNNNNNNNNNNNNNNNNNNNNNNNNNNNNNNNNNNNNNNNNNNNNNNNNNNNNNNNNNNNNNNNNNNNNNNNNNNNNNNNNNNNNNNNNNNNNNNNNNNNNNNAAAAAAAAAUAUAUAUAUAUAUAUAUAUAUAUAUAUAAAUUUUAAUGUCCUUACCGAUUAAGUUUCAAUUUAGAUUUUCUUAAUUAAAAACUUAUAAGACCCAAUGCAUGCCACUGCUUCAAAGGCUAACUACUAGCUAACAACUAAUCAGAAAAAAAAAAAAAAAAAAAAACUAACUAUCAUCAAUUCACCAUAAAAAAAUUUACUACUUAAUCUCUCACUAUAUAUACGUACCUCUUAACCAUUUCUAAACUCGAGCCUUUAACCUUAUUGAAAUUCGUAAGUUCAUGUUUUACUAAACUUUUUUUUUCUUUUAGGAUUAAGGUCACUUUUAUUGGUGUUUUUAAAUUAAAUGGCCUUUCAGUAUACUUUUCAGUGCCAUUUCUAUGCACCAAAAAUUACAGAUUCUCCCUUAAAUAUAGGUAAAAAUAUAUACUUACAACCAAAUUUUGUGGAUUAUGACACUCGUACCCCUCAAAUUUCAGAUUUCCUGUGGUGUUGAUGGUGCAGCGUUCUUUGUUGCUGGCUAUGGCUCCGGUGAUGACUACUUCUGGUCGUUGAAAAUUUGUAAUGCAGCGACAGCUCGUGUUUUUGUGGUGAUGCCAUUGCCGUCUGCUACUGUCUCCUCGUGUAAUUGUAGGAAGAAUGGUGCUCGAGGAGAUGCUGCUAAUGAUGCCGCCAAAAAUUAAUAUUUUAUCAUCAGUAGUAGUUAAUCAUUUGUAACCAUCCAAAUCCAAUUCUAUAAUUGCAAUCCAUGGAGUUGGAGUUGCUCCAGAUCUGCACAAAUUAGGGGCAAGUAAUCAAUUCAAUUGGCUAGGAUAAUAUGUACUUUUAAAUUAUAAUUUAACAGAAUUUAUUAAUUUCGGUUAGUGUGAGGAGAUUAAGUGUGAUGUUCCUAAAUUUAAAAGAGAUAAAUAUCACAACCCAUUUGAGUAUGGAUAUAUAUAAAUAAUUUGUAUAAUAUAUGGAUACAAAUUACUUCAAAAGACUUUAGUAGUAAAAUCUUGAAUUAUAGACUAGACCAACACUAAUAUAAUAUAUGCAUCAAAUGUCGCUUGUAUGAAUUGUUGAAGACCGGAGGAAGUAGAAGGAUGAAUGAGAGCCUCCGGUGUCUUAUUACUAUUAUGGAGUUCGGUGGUGAAUAGUAGAGAUAGUGAUAAGACAGAAGGAUAUGAAUAAAAAGAUAAUAAUGUUUUCGGUUUUAACAGGGAUUUAUGAGGCCAUUGUUAUUGAUCAUAGCCUUUAAGAUUGAAUUAGACAACUAUGUUAAAAUAGCAGCUGAAAGUCAGUGGAGUUUUGAGUUUUUGGAUGGGUUUUUAAAUAUGAUGCGACAAUAAUUACUUUUGAUAAAAAAAAUUAAAAAAAAAAGAGAGAGGGUGGUUUCCUUAAUUUUUUUUUUUUUUUUCUAAUUUCAUGAGUAAUGUUUUGGUAUGUCUAGUUAGUAAAUCCUAGAACUAGAAGAAAUUGGACAUGGUGGUUGGUAUUUCGUACCUUUCUAAAAAAGCAGAGAUAAUCUCCUAGCAGUCAGGAUGAAAACGAACUCUUUGGCUUGUUCUACUUUAAUAGAAAUUAAAAUUUUAAUGUUUAUACAAGGAAAACAAUGAUUCUUCGGAAACAGAAGUUACUUGAAUUCACAAAUCAGGCUCCCCGAAAUCGAAUUAUGUGUAAGUAUGAAGAGUCAAAGAAAAUAAAAUCGAAUUACAAUUUUUUAAAUUAAACUUAUUUAAGUAGAACUUUUAUUAGUAAAGUUUUUAUUAAAAAAAAUUGUAGUUUUUUUAUUGUUAAUAAAAAAAUUUAUUAAAAAUUAUAAAAUUAUUUUAAUAGAUAAGUUUUUUAAAAUGAAGUUAUAAAAUGCUUAAAGACUCUACUAAAAAAAAUAAUGUUUCAAAAUAAAUUUUUAAAGGAGUUAAAUAAGAUUAAAAAUUAAGUAUUUAAAUAUUUAAUAUUUAAAAGAAUUUCAACCUCUAAUCCCAAUUCCAAAAAAUUUAAAAUGUAAGCUCUUAUUGACAAAGACAAAAUAACUUAUUUAACCUUAAAAAAUUUUACUGAAAAAACAUUUGAACAACAAUAAAAAAAAAAAAAAACUUAUAUGAUUAAAUAGAUAUUUAUAGUCAUUAAAUAAAUCAUUAAUCAUACCAAUGCGGCAUAAACACUGACGAUAUUUCAACUCAAUACUGAUACCAACCUGACAGAAACGGCAACUUACGAGUGCCGUUUGACUUGUUCUUUUUUUUGUUUUAAGAAAAAUAAAAAAAAAAUAAAUUGGAAGUUUGAAACAAAAUUAAAAACAAAAAAAAAAAUUCCAAAUUGCAAAAUCCUCGGCAGAACCCAACUUCUAUCUACGUGGGCCAUCGACUUGGAGCUUAGAGUCAGACUGGACGUAAUAAAACGUUCUCAAACAACAAACUUAAUUCGAAAAUUUAUGAUAUGUUUUGAAUGAAAUUUUAUUUUAUUUCGUAUCUUAAAAUUUGUUUGGGAUUGAUAUUUGGUAAUUAUAGUUUAAAAAAUACAGUAUUAAAGUAUUUAAAUUAGUUAUUGUAACUUAAAAAUUAUAUUGAUAUAAUUUUUCACUUGUAUAAUAAUAAAAUUAUUAUAUCUUUAAUAAUUUUAUCAAAAUUAUAUUUACUAUAUAUUAUUAAUUUUUAUUUUAUAAUUAUAAUUUUUUUUCCUCACAACAGCCGUCUCUUAAAGAUACAACACAUUAAUUCCAAACAUAACCUUACUCUUACGGAUCCUCAAAGUUUUAACAUCAUUUAUAAAAGAUGAAAAAAUCUUUCAUUUUUUGUUACCCUACUAACAGAUUCGUCUGGUGACCCAUUAAUUAGAGCUUUUUUUUUUAAUAAAAAAAUUUGAAUUAUCGGUCAUUGGAUCUUUUUGCUCGCAAUCUAACGGCUGAUCCGCUACAAGACAAACAGAGGGGUAACUUUACCACCUAGGCAAAGUAGCUGGACCCAUUUCUAAGACGAUGGUGGAUGACACCUGUCAAUUGGACAUUACCCAGCGUGAUUGGAGCUUACGACCCGAUGAAACUUAUAAAUAAUUAAAUUUUAACUACACAAAUGUUAUUUUGACCCAAAAAAAAAAUUGUAUUACAAAAUUUUGACUAAAAAAAAAAAAAGAAAGAUUAAAAUGUCUUGAUAAAAAAAUAAAUUGAUUAAUGACUACCUGAUAUUUUAGCCUCUUUAUGUUUUUUUGUCAAAAUUUUAUAACUAAACUUCUGACUAAAGAGUCAAUAUUGAUAAAAAUAUAGAAUUAAGUCAUGAGUUCACACACACACACACUCACACACACAAAAUUAUAAGACGCCGAAGAAGAUACACGUAUAAAUAAUUGAAGGUCUGACGUUACAUCCAUGGAAAUCAAUUGGGCGCUUCAUUCUCUCCAACCUGAACCUUCACCCAUGCAUGUAGUUAGCCACGCCCACGUAGCACGUGGAUGUGGUUCUUGUUUGAUCACACAUUUAAACAAACCCCAUUCACUAAUAAACAAGUAGAAUUUUUUUUCUUUUUUUUCCAAAAAAAAAGUUAUAUAGAAUAAGUAAAUUUGGACCUUUCAAUUCGUAAAGAAUAACGGAUGGAGGCUCAAGGAUCAGCAGCCAACUCAGCGAGGUAACAUAGAAAAUGCAAUAAUUGUAGGGUCUCGUAUCUAUUAAUUCGAUAUGAUUUUAUGCUUCGACUUGUCUUUAUUUUACUGAAUCUGCCCUUUAUAUAUAUAAAAAAAUAACAAUAAUAAAGAAAAGAAAUUUAAUUUAGGGCUUAUUGCAGCGAGUUGUUAAUUUUAAUUAAUUGCUGACCUACCUACGUGUCAAACGGUUUAUCGAUGGCGGCUUCUGUUGACUUUUUCACGAGUUCUGGUGUGCGUGGCAGAAUUUUAUAAUUAAGAAUCUCUAAUAAAUUGAGUGUCAGAUCUGUAAUAAUUUUUAAAACAUCCGGUUACGUUUGAAAUUAUUUUAAAAUAAAAUACGUCUUUGUAAUUAUAUAAUUAAAAUUAUAACAUAUUUUUUUAUUAAUUAUCAUUUUAUUUGUGUGGUUGUAAUUUAUCCUCCACCUCAUAAGUUGGUAAUUGGUUUUGCUCACGAAUUUCUUUGUUUGCGGUUUCAAUGGCAAACGUUAUUCCAAUCUUUUCACUCUUCUAGCAUUAAUUUGCUGCUCCAUAAUGAUCCACUAAUAAUAAUGCUAUGUGGAAUUUAAUAUGAUGGUGGGAUCAAUCUUUGUUUGGUGCUUUUAUAUCUUUUAGAAACACGAUAUGGUCAUAUGAUUAUAUUGCGAUAAAAUUAAUUAGUUACUAUAGCAUGAUCAGAAGCAUUCAUCUAAUUGUAUCUUGUCAUACAUACGAGAUUCAAAGUUAUAAACUAAAAACAAAAUUCUAGUGAUUAUAUUUACUUAUACUAAUUAGCAUCGACUAAAGAAACCUAUUAAUCUUCCAUAAAAGAUUUAUAAAACCAAACAACUCCUCAUCCUCAAUUCCCAAAACGGUAGACAUAUUGAAUGAUGGUAAACUUAACCCGUCCCGGCCUUCCCCCCCACCACCCAAAAAAAAAAAAAAAAGGGCAUGAGUCAUCUACAUCCUUCUUUCUCUACAUAUAUUGAUUUGUUGAGACAACAAGCUAAGAAAUGAAAAUUCCUCAAUUCGUAUUGUUAAUUGAAUAUUAAAUCCUAUUAAACUAGUUCAAUUGAUAAAAUCUAUCAUAUAGAAUCGAGAGAUGUAGACUCUAGCGUUCCAAUUCAAUUUAUGUAGCUGAAGGGAGUAUUAAGAUACCAUUAGUCCAUAACUUCGGGAAAAAAAUAAAAAUUAUUAAACCCUAUUCUUAUCAUAUUUGUGAUAAACAACGAAACCCUAGCCAUAGCUAGGAACUUGUGGUCCUUCGGUUGAAGAAAGAAACAAUAA